rnacentral:lncRNA from 1 species
UCGUAUUGGGUAAAUGCUUCUGCAAAACUCUCCCUUUGGUUUCGAACAUGUGAUGGAUCCACAUCAUAAAAGAUCGGUAUGACUAUUUGUCCAUUUUUGUCCUUGCAUUCCAUGAUCUUCACUAGUUCAUCUAAGCACCACCUCGAUGUAGCAUAAUUCUUUGAGAAUACAACAAGGGCAACUUUAGAAUCUUUGGUAGCUUUCAUGAGUUUUUUUGGGAUCGAAUCGCCAUACUCUAGCCUUUUAUCAUCUUGAAAAGUGAACCCUGUUAUUCAAACCUUUAAACAAGUGACUUGUAAAUUUUUUACGAGUAUCUUCACCUCUAAAACUUACAAACACAACAUACUUCCAUUGAGGAGAGUAGUGUGAAGAACUCGCAGAAGAAGAUGCCAUGAAUUUAGUUAAUUUGUUGAAAAUUGAGAAGUAAUUAAAUAAAAAGUGUGUGGAUAGUUAGUGGUUGUGACUUUAAAUAAGAGAAGUUUCUACAAAUGAAUUUGUUUCUGUCAAAGGAAAAGACCACACACGGAGGUUGUAAAGCCUUUAUCCAACAAUUUGUUUCUCUCUCUCUUUUUUUAAGCAGAAGGAAUUUAAUCAGAUUCAUAUAUCAUCAUAUAUAUAAAAAAAAAUCUAUGCUCGCCUACGUGACACCACCACAAAUUAAAAUUACAUUUAAAUUUAUUUAUUUUCAAACUUAACCAAAAACUAAGCAUUUAAAGAACGGAAGUAGAUUUAAAUGACUAAAGAAAUACGGAGUUCCCAUAAACUCCGGAAGUUCAACAAAACAACUAACAACUAUUGCAGAAGUUAACCCCUAGAACUGAAAGUCAUUGUACCAAAACAUCUAAAGUGCAACAAGUCUAAGAAAAAGUGGGAUAACCCCAACCAAACAUAAGAAAUAUCUUAACACUAGUCUGAGUCCGAAGAGAAUGGACUAAACAAAAAUGAAGGAUUCAUGGCAGCAUGAAAGAAUCGACUCACCCUUGAUUCCGAUCUCGAUCACUGAUCUCCUAGCCGAGGUCUAUCCGUAGCCGCCUGAAGAUGCCCUAUACUCAACAAAGAACGAGCAGUAUCAGUACACAAUCACAAUGUACUGGUAGUAUCACGCGACUAUUCCAGUAAGUGAAACAUAUACAAGUAAUCACAACACAAUAAACACGCAUAUGCAGAAUAUAUAAAUCAGUUAUCAUUUCAGGAGCAAUGUACAAUUCCACAUUCUCAAUAACAAGUAAAUACAACAGUACAAUGGUCCUCUCAUGGAACCCAUACCCAAACUGUUAGAGUGUCGGAACGUGACACCCGAUCCAAUAUAUGUGUCGGAACAUGACACCCGAUCUAAUAUAUGUGUCGGAAUGUGACACCCGAUCCAAGGUAUGUGUCAGAACGUGACACCGGAUCCAAUAUAUGUGUCAGAACGUGACACCUGAUCCAAUAAGCACAACCACAAUCACAAUCAUACCCAUAAUGUACGUACUCAUAAUCAUACAAUCAAGUAUUAGGCUCAUGGCAUGCAAUUGUUCAUUCGUACUCAUUUCAUUAGGUUUGAUCUACAGUGCCUCAUUCACAUACAUGCAUGCAUUACAGUGAAUAAAUUUUUGACAUAUAUCACACAAACAUGAAAUCAAACCAUCACCUACCUCGAAACCAAGCUUGAAUCCUCCUAAGACUCUUGAGCAUUCCCUUUCUAAAUUCUUUUCGCUUGUUCGUAGUCUUAAAACAAUCAGUUAAGCAAGGAUCUAUAAACAAGGUCUAAUUACCCGGAUUACAAUAGACAUUAUCAACCCUAGGCCAAACACAAGAUCCCAAUACCCAACUUAAGGAUUUUUCCACCAUUAACUUCAGGUCAAAACCCUCCCCCAAUCAUAAUUACCCAAGAAUCUAACUUCUACGGAUUGAAAAAUGGAUUAGGGGAGUAAAAAUCUUACCUUUAGGUCGUUUCUUAGCUCUCAAGAACAAAAGUUGCAGAAAACUAACAUUUUUUGGGUGUUUACCCGAUUUAAGUCACGACUGGCCUGUUACGGCGGACCCCUUCCCGCCACAGCGGCCUCACCCUGGUGGGAUUAAUCCCGCCCUGGAGGCUUGCACGGAGACAGAGAGUCGGAAUUUGAGUUCCAAACUCCCAUUUCACAACACAUAUUCAACCCUUGACGUUAAAAAACUACUCGCUCACGCUAUGAACAGUUUCAGGAGUUCUACUCGUCCGAAUUCAAUUUUGUAAUGUCGUACGAGCUCUUAACGUCUUGGCUAUCCACUCUUAUGAUCAAAUUCAUAAUUAAAACUCUCAUUCGUUACCAGUUUUACCUAGACCUCACUGACUCAGAUUUCAUACAAAUCUGGACUAGGCUAGGAGUUCCCAAGUCACUACCCAAAUUUUUUUUUGACCCAAUUCUUUCCCCAUUGGCUUUUCCAUAACGAUGGAAACCGGUCGUUACAAUAGAUACCAAUUUAUCCAUCAGUCAUCCCCGAGUGAUAAACUAGGAAAAAGUGGCUAAAGUAAGGGUAGAGUAGUACCUGGAUUGUUGAACAACUGGGGAUACUUGUCUCGCAAGGGUAGAGUAGUACCUGGAUUGUUGAACAACUAGGGAUACUUGUCUCGCAAGGGUAGAGUAGUACAUGGAUUGUUGAACAACUGGGGAUACUUGUCUCGCAUGUCCUUCUCGAUUUCCAAAGUAGCUUCCUCAAUCGGACGAUGCUUCUAUUAAACUUUCACGGACUUUCUCUCAUUUAUCCUCAACUUUCGGAUGUUGCGAUCAAGAAUUUCAACCAGUUCCUCCUCAUAUUUAAGGUCUUUAUCUAACAAAACUGAGUCUCAUUUUAUGAUGUAAUCCCCUUCCCCAUGAUACUUCUUCAACAUGGACACAUGAAACACUAAAUGAAAUCCAGAUAAGCUAGGAGGUAAGGCUAACCUAUAAGCCACUGGCCCUACAGAGUCAAGAAUCUCAAAUGAUCCAAUGUAUCGAGGACUAAGCUUGACCUUCUUGCUAAAUCUCAUCACCCCUUUUACGGGUGACACUUUAAGAAAAACUUGUUCACCGGCCUGAAAUGUCAUGUCUCUUACCUUAUGGUCUACACAUUUCUUCUGUUGACUCUGGGCUGCUAGAAGCUUAGCUUGGAUGCUUCUUACCUUAUCCUCAGCAUCCUUCACCAAAUCAACCCCCAAAGGUUUCACAUCUCCAUCCUCAAACCAUCCUAUGGGUGAUCUACAUCCCCUCUAAUAAAGGGCCUCGAACGGUGCCAUAUCAUUGUUGGAGCGGUAGCUGUUGUUAUAGGAGAACUCACACAAACGUUGGAACUUAUCCCAAUAUCCUACAAAGUCAAUCACACAUGCCCUCAACAUGUCCUUUAACACUUGAAUAGUCCAUUCUGACUUCCCGUCCGUUUGCAGAUGGAAGGCUGUGCUAAAAGUGAGUUGAGUGCCCAACUGGUCCGAGAUGAUAGAAAGGGGAAGUCCAUGCAUCCUCACUUUCUCCUUCACAUACACCUUAGCCAACUGUUGCGCAUUAUAAUCCACUCUGACUGGAAUGAAGUGGACGAACUUAGUCAGUCUAUCAACUACUACCCAAAUGGAGUCAAACUUCCCCAAGGUCUUGGGAAGACCAACCACAAAAUCCAUAGCUAUCCUUUCCCACUUCCAUUCCGAAAUUGGCAUUCGCUGAAGCAAACCUGCAUGCCUUUAGUGCUCAUGCUUUACUUGCUGACAGUUUUGGCACUUAACCACAAACUCUGUUAUGUGUUUCUUCAUGUCAGACCACCAAAAAGUCGUUUCAAAUCUCAGUGCAUCUUGGUCACACCCGGAUGAAUGGAAUACCGCGAGCCAUGAGAUUCAGUGAAAAUUUUCUAAACCAAAUCAUCCACUCGGGGAACACGCACUCUUUACUUAAAACUGAGCAUACCACCUGCAUCAAGAGUCACAUCUUGUGCCUUGCCAGACACUGUCUUCUUUCUAAGCUCAUUCAAAUUCUCAUCCUCAACCUGUUUGGCCUUGAUCUCCUCAAUGAAAGUGGGCCUAACUUCAAUGCUAGCUGCAUGAGCUUAGACUCCAAAGUCUGGAUCUCCUUUGUCAAAGGUCGCGUGGCUACACCCAAGCAAGCUAGACUACCCAUACUCACCGCCUUUCGGCUUAAUGCGUCUGCCACCACGUUAGCCUUAACCGAAUGAUACUGGAUGGUGACAUCGUAGUCUUUAAGUAACUCUAUCCACCUUUACUGUCUCAGAUCUAGGUCUUUUUGAGUGAAUACAUGUUGUAGGCUACGGUGGUCAGCAAACACCUCACAUUUGACACCCUAAAGGUAAUGUCGCCAAAUUUUAAGGGCAAAUAGUACCGCUGCCAACUCCAAAUCAUACGUUGGGUAAUUUCGCUCAUGCACCUUCAACUGCCACGAUGCAUAAGCUAUAACAUUCUUAUUUUGUAUCAACACAAAACUCAAGCCCGAAUGUGAAGCAUCACAAUAAACAAUGAAAUCUUUAACUUUCACCGGCAGUGCCAAAAUAUGUGUUGUGGUCAAAAGAGUCUUGAGCUUUUGAAAUCUCUCUUCAUAUUUGUUAGUCCACUCGAAAGGUACCUAAUUUUUUGUCAGCCUUGUCAAAUGUGUGGCGAUGGAAGCAAAAUUCUUCACAAACCAGCGAUAGUAGCUGGCGAGCCCCACAAAACUCCUAAUUUCAGUCACAGAACUAGGUCGGACCCAAUUCCUGAUUGCUUCAAUCUUUUGGGAAUCUACCAUUACCCCUUCCCUUGAAACCACAUGCCACAAAUUAAAAGGCAAUUGAAGUCAACCAUAACUCACACUUGGAAAAUUUAGCAUAUAACUUUUGUCUCCUAAGGACACCAAAACUAUACGAAGACAGUCAGCAUGCUCUUCCUCACUUUUCGAAUAAACCAAUAUGUCAUCAAUAAAGAUGAUAACAAAGGAAUCCAGAAAUGGUUUGAACACACCAUUUAUCAAACUCAUGAAAGUUGCAGGCGCAUUUGUCCACCCAAAUGACAUUACUAGAACUUCAUAGUGCCCAUAGCGGUUCCUGAAUGCCAUUUUUGGUACAUCCUCAAGCAUAAUCUUUAACUGAUGGUAACUAGACCUUAGAUCAAUUUUAGAGAAAACCAACGCACCUUGUAACUGGUCAAAGAGGUCAUCAAUCUGAGGCAACAGAUACUUAUUUCGAAUGGUGACCCUAUUCAAAUGUUGAUAGUCUAUGCACAUCGUCAUACUACCAUCCUUCUUCUUAACAAACAAGACAAGAGCACCCCACGGGGAAGCACUAGGACGGAUGAAACCUUUAUCAAUAAGCUCUUAGAUUUGAGCCUUAAGCUCUCUCAAUUCUGCCGAAGCCAUGCGAUAGGGAGGAAUGGAGAUGGGGCAAGUGCCGAAUUCCAAAUCAAUGCAGAAAUCUAUAUCUCUAUCCGAAGGCAUACCAGAAAAAUCGGUAGGAUACACUUCCCUAAAUUUAGACACUACAUGAAUAGACUCAAUAGAGGGAUACUCAACAUCAACAUCCCGAACAUGAGCCAAUAAUGCCAAAUAUCCCUGCCCCACCAGUUUCCUAGCCCGAAUAGAAAAUAUGACCUUAGUUGGCUUAGGAUUGUACAGCCCUUCCCACUCUAACUUUUCCCUACUCGGUAUCUCUAGAGUCACAGACUUAGUAUUAAAAUUAAGCACAACAUAAUAGGGGCACAACCAAGUCAUGUCUAAGAUUAUAUAAAAGACAGUCAUAACCAAAAUAACCAAAUAAGCCCAAGUCUGAAAACCUAUAAAUAAAAUAGGACAAGCACGAUAUACAUGGGUGACUAUGAAAGACUCUCCAGCUGGGGUAGAAACAUGGAUGUGGGCAUCAAGUACAUCACAAACCGCAUCAAAUCCCAAGGCAAACCAAACUGACACAUAUGAAUAGGUAGAGCCCAGAUCAAACAAAACAGUAAACAUCCAGUCACAUACAAAAAUAGUACAUGUGAUCACUGCAUCAAACGAAUCCGCCUCGCUCUAGCCCGGAAAGGCAUAACACUGAGCCCUGUUAUCUUGACAAACAACCUCCUUGCCUGGCUGCACUGCUCCUCUACUUGCAUUACCAUUUCCCCGACCUCCACGUCCUCGCCGAUUCCCUUAUCGCCCACCUUGUGGAUGUCCUCUACCAUUAUCACCGUUGCCCACGGGUACCAGUGUUCUAGUCUGCUACUGCGCAGGGUCAAACAUGCGCGGUUUGGGACAAUCUCUCCUCAUAUGCCCGGGUUCUUCACAAUUAUAACAACUACUAUCAAAAGAUAGCCUGUCGUUAGCCGAAGGCGUAGCUCCCUAGCUAUCCUUAAUAAAAUUCUGUUGUGGAGUUCCUGAGUCACUACAUUUAGAAGUGAGAAAGACUGACUGAAUUGGCCAGGCUGCAAGCAUCGGCCAACAUGAACCUCUGGAGUAGGAACCAUGAAAGUUACUUGUGCUCUUGGGCUUCUUAGCCAAACCUUUGGCCUGCCCAUCAUGUCGAACCCGCUCUACUUUCUUUACAAACUCUAUCACCUCAUUAAAACCUUUUCCUGCAGAAGUCAUGUGAACAUACAAUACCUGUAAUUAGGGGCUCAAUCCCUUGACGAAUAGAUGAAUCAUUUCCUCCUCAGUAUUCACCAAUUGUGUAGCAUAUCUAGAAAAAACAUGGAAUUUAGCCUCAUAAGCAGCUACAUACAUACCACCCUACUCCAAAGCCAUGAACUCAUCCUUUUUGUGGUCUCUCAAAGUCCGGGGCACAUACUUUUCUAGAAAUAGAGCAUGAAACCGCGUCCAAGUGAAUGGGAGUAAAACUGACAAUCUGCAUUCCACAUAGACCCUCCACUACUGCUUAGCCUCACCCUGAAGCUGGAAGGUCAUGAACUCUACCCCAUGCUGGUGUGCAAUACCUAACUUGUGAAGCCUCUCAUAGCAGUCCAAAAUAAACUCAUAGAUGUCCCCACUCUCAGAACCAUGGAAUACAUGUGACUUUAGUUUCAGAAACUUAGUAAUCAUCUCAUGGUCAUUACCAGUCAUCAUAGGACCCAAUAGGGGAUGGAAAAAGGCAUCAGUGCCUAGAGCUCCACCCACCCUGGGAACAGUAAAAACAAUGGGGGGAUUGAUUGGAGGUUGAGUCGCUUGCACUGUGGGAAGGACUCUAGGACCGACCAAUCCCUUUAGAAAAGUCAUAAUUUGUUGAGCUAACACUGGUUCUAAGGGAGGAACACCUGUAGCCUCUGUCUGUGCAUCCCCCUCUGGUCCAACCUCCUCAUUGUCCUCAAUUUCCACAUUCUCUUCUACCUGCUCGUGAUGCACAGGAGGAGCCACAUCUCUGGGAGCAUUCUCAACUGGAGUUCUACCCCUAGCCGGUCCCACCCUUCCUCGACCUUUGCCCCUUGCUCUUCCUCUACCCCAGCCUCGAUCGCGGCCUCUUGCUGCGAACUCCUCGGCUGGUUUAUUGACAGGAGCUACGGGCCUGGCGCCGUUGAAACGUGUGUUAACCAUCUGCGGACAGAAGAAGGAAGAAGAUUAGAUACCAUUUUGGAUCGCCCGAUACCAAUUGGAAUCAAGUCAUUGCAUGAAAGGAGUAGAAAUAAAUAGAUUUCCUAAAGUACUAUAGCUUCUCGAACAAAAGUACAGACGUCUCUGUAACGUUACACAAGACUCUAGUAGACUCGUUUUGAUACGAUGAGAUCAACGAACCAAGGGCUCUGAUACAAACUUCGUCACAACCUAGACCGUCGUGAUUGACACCCACACUAACCCUCAGGUGGGAGAACCAUUACUACAACCAGAAUAAGAAACCUUAACAAAAAACUAAGCAUUUAAAGAUACGGAAGCAGGUUUAAAUGACUAAAGAAAUAUGGAGUUCCCAUAAACUCCGAAAGUUGAACAAAAUAACUAACAACUAUUGCGGAAGUUAACCCCUAGAACUGAAAGUCACUGUACCAAAACAUCUAAAGUGCAACAAGUCUAAGAAAAAGGGGUACAACCCUAACAGAACAUAAGAAAUAUAUAAGCGCUAGUCUGAGCACGAAGAGAAUGGACUAAACAAAAAUGAAGGAUUAAUGAAAGCCUGAUAGAACUGGCUCACCCUUGAAUCCGAUCUCGAUCACUGAUCUCCUAGCUGAGGUAUAUCCGUAGCCACCUGAAGAGUCCUUGUACUCAAUAAACAACGAGCAAGUGCACUAUCAGUACACAACCACAAUGUACAGGUAGGAUCACACGGCUAUUCCAGUAAGAGAAAAAUAUAAAAGUAAUCAAACCACAUUGAACACGCAUAUACAAAAUAUAUAAAUCAGUUAUCAUUUCAGGAGCAAUGUACAAUAUCACAUUCUCAAUAACAAGUAAAUAUGACAGUACAAUGGUCCUCUCAUGGAACCCAUACCCAAACUGCUAGUGUGUCAGAACGUGACACCCGAUCCAAUAUAUGUGUCGGAAUGUGAUAUCCGAUCCAAGGUAUGUGUCGAAACGUGACACCCGAUCCAAUGUAUGUGUCAGAACGUGACACCUAAUCCAAUUAGCACAACCACAAUCACAAUCAUAAUCACACCCAUAAUGUACAUAAUCACAAUCAUACAAUCAAGUAUUAGGCUCAUGGCAUUCAAUUGCUCAUUUGUACUCAUUUCAUUUGAUUUGAUCUAUAGUGCCUCAUUCACAUACAUGCAUUACAAUGAAGCAAUUUCUUACAUAUAUCACACAAACAUGAAAUCAAACCAUUACCUACCUCGAAACCAAGCUUGAAUCCUCCUAAGAUUCUUGAGCCUUCCAUAUCCGGAUUUUUUUCACUUGUUCGUGGUCUAAAAACAAUCUGUUAAGCAGGGAUCAAUAAAUGAGGCCUAAUUACCCGGAUUACAAUCGACAUUAUCAACCCAAGGCCAAACACAAGAUCCCAACACCCAACUUAGGGCUUUUUCCACCAUUAACUUCAGGUCAAAACCUUCCCCCAAUGAUAAUUACCCAAGAAUUUAAGUUCUACGAAUCGAAAAACAGAUUAGGGGAGUAAAAACCUUACCUUUAGCGCUAGAAAAGGUGGAAAACUGUCAAAAACUUACCCUGGGUCGUCUGUUAGCUCUCGAGAAUGAAAGUUGCUGAAAAAAAACAUUUUUGGGGCUUUUACCUGAUUUAAGUCGCGACUGACCCACUACGCCAGACACCAUCCUAGCACAACGGCCCCGCCCUGAUGAGAUUAAUCCCUCCCUGGCGGUUUGCACGAAGACAGAGAGUCGGAAUUUGAGUUCCAAACUCCCAUUUCACAACACACCUACAAUCCUUGAGGUUCAAAAACUACCCGUUUACGCUAAGAUCACUUUGGGGAGUUCUGCUCGCUCGAAUUUGAUUCCGUAAGGCAGUACGGGCUCCAUAACAUCUUGGCUAUCAACUCAUGUGAUCAAAUUCAUAAUUAAAUCUCUCAUUCGUUACCAUAUUUCUCUAGACCUCACCUGACUCAAAUUUCGUCUAAAUCUGAACUAGGCUAGGAAUUUCCAAGUCACUGCCCAAAAGUUUUUAUGGCCCAAUUCUUUCCCCAUUGAAUUUUCCAUAACAACGGAAAUCGGUCGUUACAUAUAUAUACUUGCAUUGUUGCAUGCAUUAGUCUACCGUUUCUCCAUAAUCUUUCUUUACCUUUGGUGAUUUGAGUUAAUCAUUUUUUUUGUCUAGGGGUGGUACAAUAUAGAUUGAAGGACAAUGUAAUUUAUUAGAGCUUUGAAUUGAUAUAUUAAGUAAAUAUAGUUGGAUUUUAAAAGGUGUGAAUGAAAUAUGAAGAGUUGCGACUUUCAUGAAAAGUUGUGGCUUUUUUGUAAAAGUUGCGACUUUCAUGAAAAGUUUUGACUUUUAUGAAAAGUUUUGACUUUUAUGAAAAGUUGCGACUUUUAUGAAAAGUUGUGACUUUUAUAAAAGGUUAUGACCUUUCUGAAAGGUUGUAACUUUUCCAUAGAGUUGUGACCUUCCCGAUAAGGCACACUAAGCAUUUGUUUACACUACCCUUCGUUGUCUAUAAAUUGAGGGAUUUCCUCUCAUUUUAAAACAACGAAAAUUCUAAACUUUUUCUUCUUCGGCACAAUUAAAUAUUCGUGUACUUUGCUCCUGUUGAGUGGCUCACUAACACCAUUGAUUUUGUAUCAAUACACUGGUGAAUAAAAUCGUUCUAUCCUGAGAGGAUCAAUUCCCUUAAACCUCGGUACUAGAGCAGAAUAAUUUUCUAAGGGGACACUGUGCAUUCAGUGGCUUGAUUUUUCUUUCUAUUUCAUUCUAUUGUUAUAGAUCUUGAUAUGUUUUUACGGUCAUUAAUUUAUGCUUAUGUUAUUAAUUACUAUAUUUGAGUACAUGCUUUAAAAUUUGUCGUUUAUGUUUCAGCAAAUUUAUUUUUAUAUAAGUAUUUGUUAGUACAUAUUAAAUAACACACAUUAAUUGAGUAUCCACACAAGUUUUAUCUACUGAAACUGUUGAAGGUUAAGUAAAAAAAUUCCUUAAAGAUCUAUACUACCAUCUCUUGAAGUAAAGAAAUCAAAUUUGGUAUGCCAUUGUAAGGACAUAAAAACCUUAUAAACCUUAUCACACCUUGAUGUGCGAAGUGAGAAGACAAUAAUUAAUAAACUUUUGACAUGACUUCAAGGAUAUUAUGAGAGAUGACCUAUAGAGGAAUAUGACUAGACUAGAGCCUCUUUUGAUCCCAAAGACAUAGAUAACUACACAAUAAAUUAAUUGUUCAUAUUCAAUAUGAAGUAUAGAUAGAUUCUCAAAGUUAUUGCAAGUUGUAAAUACUUUUCUUGAACUAAUAGAUGUGUUUCUCGAUACUGCGAUUGGAAUAGAAGUGUAGUUUCAAAUUGAACUGCAUCACUCUAGUAUGCUGAUUUUUAAAAGCACCUAAACAAACUGAAUAGUUUUGUGUAAUAUUUUUUCCUUUCAAGUAUAUAUAAUAAUUUGAAUUGUUGUCCCAUACGAUACAUUCUCCCUUUAAUUUUCCAUUUUAAUAAUUCCUUAUGCUACAUUUAAAUGAGGAACUUUAAAAUGAUAUAUGUAAAGCAAAAGGUAGUGCUGAACUUUCUACACGUUAAAAUUAGAAUAUUUGUUCACUUUCUCAUUUUUUUAAAAUUUAUUUAUCCCUUCACCAACGAUUAUUUAGUUAUUAAAAAAUUUAUAUCUCAGAUUGAUGUGCAUUUGAUUCCCCAAAAUAUCAAAUAGUAACACUUCCUAGAAACAAAAGGAUAAAUUGUAAAAUCAAAUUAAAGAUGAUUGAUUGAAGGGUAAAUGAUAAGUUAUUAUAAUUAUUAUUUUUUACAUUAUUAAUAUUCGUUACUACGUAAUCUUGUAUGUAAGAUAAUAUAGUGUUUUAGUUUUAAUGACUGAUAGGUUUUAAGUAUUAUUUUACAAAUUUCGUGAUAUUAAAUAACCGCGCGACGCAUGGGUAAUUUUACAAGUUACUUGAUAUUUUUGCAUCCAAUAUAACUUGGAUUGAAUAUUGACCUAAAUCCACGAACCUUAACUUAAACUACUAUUUUAAAAGGGAAAAUUAUAUAACUAAGUUAAUAUUUAGUAGUUAAAUAUAAUACAUAAAUAUAGUUUAAAUUAAUCAUGGAAAAUGGUUAUUGUUUAAGAAAAUGGCUAUGAGUUAGUGAUGAGUCCACAUUUUAGACUCAUUUAGGGCUUUAUUUUAAUAGAUUUAGUGUCCUCAAAUGAAUAUUUUGUGCCAAUAACUGAUGUAAGUCCUUGAUUUUUAGGUAUUUGUAUUGAGGAACAAAGCACGGACACAAAUGAGCAAAAAGGAACAAGGCAGCUGAAAGAACGAAGAAAAGAAGGCCCGAGGAUCGCCUAAACCAUUGGGCGAGUCGCCGAAUGGACAUGGUCACGCCUAAUGUUCCAGUGUGCCAAGCCCUGAAGGAGAACAUCAAGUCGGCGAUAGAAAUGAGGAGUCGGUGAGUCGCCGAACGAUUCCGCAAUGCAGUACCAUAUCGCCCAAAGUUACAGAACUUGAAGUCGCUGAAGGCCAAAGCAAAAAGGCGAUGGAACUGACCAAAGAGCGGAUCGCCGAGUGGAUCGGCGAUCCUGACUUAUUGUGCCGAAUGGUCCUUAGCAGCACAUUUUUGGUGACUAUAAAUACACUUUUGAAUAUUUAGUUUAGUAUCUAUCUUUAUGUUUUUUUUUUAAUGCAAUUUUCAAUAUUUUAUUUUUGGUAUAAUGUUUUUGAGUAGAAAGCUUAGAACUGAGUUUAGGGACAAUAUUUUUCUUAGCUUUGAUGAUUUGAAGAUUUCCAUUUCUGAGAAAUUGGAAGUGGGUGUUGAAGAUUCUUCAUCUUAGACCUUUGUAAAGACAAUAUCAAUCCUACCAAGUNNNNNNNNNNNNNAAUUAAUCUUACCCAGUUGAUGGAAACACAAUUUGGUAACGAUUUCUACCUUUUUACUAUGUCUAACUAAGACCCCAAUUCUUGGGGUGUGAUUAUGUAAUUAUGGUUUGAUUUAGCUGCUGGGUAUUGUUAUUUGAUAGUGUAAAUGAUGUUUAAAGGUAAUUUGAUUCAGUAAUUAUGGCUUAAUCUAAAGGGUUAUAUUUGCAAAUGCAACUCUACCUUCGUGUUUUUGGCUUGCUCGAGAGAGAGGUUUUAAAACCAAGAUUACUGUUUUGAUUGUCUGUGGGUAUUGGGUUGUCAUGGGUUCAGCUCGAGAGAGUGAAUAGACUAAAGCGAAUGUUGUUCUUAAUUGCUGCUUAUUGGUGUUCGAGAGAAACCAAUUUGAUUCGAGGUAAAUUAUUCGAGAGAAAGUUUACCCCUACUAAAGUCUAGCUUAUUCACUGAUUUACAGCUAUUUACUAUCAAUUGCAAUUACCCAUUUGCCUACCUUAGCCCAUAAUCCAAUCACAUCCCAAGAACUCGUCUCUAUAUUUUCUAUUUUCGUGUUGUUUAUUAUUGUAGUUGUUAAUUACAACCAAAACCCCCUUGUUAUUUGACACUUGUGUCACCCCAAACUUGAACCAUGCUUUUAUUCAUAAAUGUUUUUACCUAUGAUUGACUUGAACAUAUUCAUGCUUGACUCUUGAUUCUCAAACCACUCCCUGUGGGAAUGAUCCCAAUUCACUUAGUUGGGUUAUAUUACUACUCACGAUCAUUGGCACUUAGUAUUGGAUGAGGUGUCCUGAUACGUGAAAUCAAAAUGGCGCCGCUGUCGGGGAUUGGUGUUAAUUGAGAAUCUUUAGUUUAGUUAAAUUUUGUUCUUGUUAGUCAUAGUUGAACUUACUUAAUUUUAGUUUUGUUUUGCGUGCUUAUGUGUUGAAACAGGAAAAAUGAGUGUGAACGGUGACCAAAUGGACCACCCCCUUUUGAGAUUUUUGAAUCUUAGGUAUAACCUCCUAACGUUCAAGCAAUUGGGGGUGAGACUAUCCAUGAGAUGUGGCCGAGAUUUAUUAUUGCAUCAGUGCCCACCUCAUGGAAUGCCACAUAAAUUUCUAAUGGAAUGCUUCUAUAGAGGUCUUGGUUCCAAAAAUAGAAGCGUUGUUGAUCAACUUUUUGCAGUUGAAGUAGUAGCCCAACUCUUUGAUGGCAUGAUUAAAGCCCAACAAUGAGACAGACAAAGACCAAGAAUGGGCCGUAUUGUUGGCUCAACUGGAUGUCUUAUCCAAGAAGCUCAUGGAGUUGGAAUCAAGGUCCAAAAAGAAGGACAAGUACCUUCCCCCUCACGAGUGUCAAAAGAUGAAGCAGCAAGAGGGUGGACAAAAUGAAGAGGUCCUCUCACAUAUUCUACACAAAAUCGAAGAACAAGAUAGAGUGUUGAAUGAGAUAAAAGUGAAUGUCUUAAUGCUUAAUCAGAUGAAAACCUCCCAUUCCAUGAUUAUUCAGCUACAAGACACCCAGAUAAACCAAGUCCUGUCGUGUCUCUACUUACAACAUAAAGAGGGGUUGCCUAGUGACACUAAGGUCAACCCAAGAAUGAGGUUUUAGUAUGGACUUGCGUCGUGCCGCGACAUUAACUAAGGUGCUGCUUGGGAGGCAACCCAAGACCCCUUUAUUUCUUUAUUUUUGUUUUGGUAAAUAAUGGUGUGUUGAUUGUGCAGGUUAAAGUGUGGAGGGUGUGUGAAAAGUGUAGGUUGGCGAGCCCAAAGUCCAGUCGGUGUAUCGCCAAAGAGGUCGGCGAGCCCGACUUGGACCGCAGUUAGACGUAAGACAAUUUUAAAUUGGAGUCUGUAAAACUCAGUGAGCCCAGGAACAACUUGGUGAAUCGCCGACAUGGUCGGCGAUCGUGAUCUAGUCCGUCGUUUGGACCCCCACAUUAACUGGAGGUCCUAUAACACUCGGUGAGGAAAGUGACUACUCGGCAUAUCCCCAAGUGGGUCGGCGAGCACGACUAACGUCAGAACUGGACGGUUUUUAACAGGCCAAAGAUUUAAACUCCCAACUCUUUCACUUUCCCUCACUUUUUGUCUUCCCAAACUCACACCCGCACAUUAGUUUCUAUAUUUUUGAAUUUUUAGAGUAUUUUAGUCGUUGAUUUGUGCUCGGAUUGGAAUUACUUUGCCGCCUAGCAUUUCAGUCUUUAUUAUUCGGCAUAAAAGGUUGGUUUUUCAAACCCCGAGUUUACUUUUAUUGAAACUGUACUCUUAUGCAAAUGAUCUUAUCGUAUUUUCAUGUGAUGGGCCUCUCUGAUAGGAUUAAAAUGUUUGAUUGCCUGUUUUAAUUCAAUAAUCUUGACCGUAAUGCCUUUAAUGUUAGAUUCCCGUAAUUUUGUGCCUUAAAAUGAAUGAAAUCUUGUGGGGUUGAGCUUGCAUGUUGUUGGGUCUAGUCAGGUGAAGUCUAAGUAACCCGCAGUUGUGCCAAAUGACAAAAUUUUCCCAAUGAUAGAGCGGGCGACGUCAUCCUUAAGGGCAAAAGUUGUCAAAUGGCCAAAUUUGGCAAAACCAGGACAAGUCUGAGUAUCCCGAGGUAAUGAGUAUAAUGGGUCUUGUUUUAAUUUGAGUUGUGCAUUCUUUGAUUUUGUUUUUGGGGGUUGCGGGGUCGAAUUUGAGAAGUUGGGUUGAAAUUAGGCACGUUGGGUAGAGCUCGCCGAACCACUCGGCGGUUCAAAAAAAUCGCUCAUCUUGCCUUUAAUUUCAUGCUUUACUUAUUAAUUGGCUCUGUAACUUUUGGCGAGAAGCUUGAGGUCCCCGAAGGCACUCGAUGACUCACCGAAACUCUUCUUGAUCGCCCUUUGUCUGCACCCCUGUAGCUUAAAUUGUACUGUAACUUUCGGCGAGCUAAUCCUUGCUAGGCAAAGGAUGUCGGUGAUUCGCCGAAAGGCCUUAGAUCACCGACGUGCCAAAUCUUUCUGAAAGUUUUGAGCCAAUCCUUUCGGCGAGCCAGAUCUAGCUCGCCAAAGUGAUUCGGCGGCUCGCCGACCAGUUCAGCGGGUUUGUCUGCAACUGUUUUCUUCUGUGUUUUACUGAAUUAAUUAUAACUUUCUUAAAUGCCUUACAUACAUGGCUAGACCAAAAGUUAGUGGGAUAAAUAUGCCACCCCGAAAGUAGGUUAAGGGGAUUAAACUCAAUGAAGAUGCAGUUGCAUCCAAGGGAACAACUACCAAACUUCCCACAACUGGUGGGAAAGGCAAGGGUAAAGGCAAAGCACCUGUGUCACCGGAGGCCAGCUUCGACAGUGACAGAAUGUACGCCACUCACCUCACUACUUUUGAGAGUGAGGGUGAGCACAUGGAACCCCAGAGUGCAGCUUCUGAUGAUGAUGAGCUUGUAGCAAAUUUUAUGAUAAAAAAGAAUGAACGAUCCGUCUAGGAUCAAGAUUCCUCAACCCACCACUUCUUCUCCUCCAGUUCCAGCAUAGGCAGUGGUGCUUGCACCACCAGUUCAGGGUCCUCCCCCAGAGUCUAUGAACAGAUUAAAGACUAAGGGGCUGAGAACAAUCACUGAGGAGAAGCGCCUGCCCACAUAUGGGGUGAUUGAUAGGUACCCCGAGAUUAUGAGAUGGCUGGAGUCUCAUAAGUUCCAGAUCUUCACAAAGCCCCAUGGCCCGUAUAUCCCAAAUUGGGUCUGGGAGAUCUAUGCUGCUUAUGGAGCAUUGAUACCACAAAGAAAGAAGCAGGCAACACCGGUGGACACUUUCCUGCAGAGGCAUCUUUGCCUAUUCCGACCCCUGGGCCUUCAGGUAUCCUUAUUGUUGUCCCUUCUAAUACUCCAGGUUCUUCUACUACUGCACUGCCUCCUAGACCUGUUGCUGCUGUCUCUCGGACUCUGCUAACUCAGGCUUCAUUACUCCGGAUGGGGCAGCUUUCCCACUCUGCCGAUCGUCAGGCUGCCAGACUCGAGGCCUCCAUUCCUGGCAUGAUCGAGACUGCCCUGGCUGAUGUUGUGACACUAUUGAGUGCUACCAUUGAUGCCCUGGCGGUUAGGAUAGCGGUGUGUGAGCGUGGCCAAGGGGCCACCGAGGAGGUGACGGCUUUAAAGGAUGCUAUUGCUGGGUUGAGGAGAGAUGUGGACCAGCUGAAGUCCACCGAUAUGUCUAUGAUCUUUGGGACGGUGGAGAUUCCCGAUAAGCUAUUUGAGCCAGCUAAGCCUGAGUCUGAGGCGGAGACGGAUGAGGAGAUGCAUGGCGUUGCUGAGGAGGUUUCAUAUGAGGGCCUUACUGAGACUGAGGAGGCCAUGAUAGAUGCAGCUCUGCAGAUCUCUUUGGUUGACCUUAGUGCAACUACUGUUACUUCUGAGGUGACCCCGAGCACUGAUGCCCAAAUCCAGAUUGUUGCACUGGGCACUGAUGCCCAGACAGAUGGAGUGACUGAGUAGACAGGAUCCCUUCUUUACUACCCUCUUUGUCUUACAUUAUUUUGAUUUUUGGAUAUUAUUUUGAUUACAUUUGAGGACAAAUGAUUUUUAUUUGUGGUGGGGUGAGGCCCCUCUUUUGUGACUCUGUUUUUGUGUAUAUAUUUGGGUUUUGAGCUAUAAAUUGUGUUUUAUACUGCAUUUUGUGGAUAGUUGAGUUUGUGGCUCCUUGUUUUAAAUUGUGAAUGAUUUUUGGACCCAUCCAAAAAAAUUGUGCCACCUCUUGAUUGUGUUUGAAUAUGGUUGUUCUCUUGCAAAUUUGAGUAUCGAUCUUGAUCAAUAUUGAUGACUCGAAUAGUGCUCAUAAUAAAAAAAAAUGAAUAUGCGGUAACGAUGAGGCUAAAUGAAGUUGCAUAGAUAUGUUAACUCUUUGCAUCUCGUUGUGACUAGCCAAAUAUCAAAUUGAGUCUCUUGUGAUGAACAUUGCACACUAGCGAAAGUGUGGAGUCUUGUUUGACAUUGGUGUAAAUGCCUUGUGUGAUGAGCUUACCGUGUACCAUGCAUGAUGACACCUAGAAUUUGCCUUGUUAGUCCGGUUGACUAAGUGAUGCAAUCUCUUGAUAUGAUCUUAGGCAACUUUGAAGAAUGUGAAACAAUUUGACAUUAUACCUCUUUUGUGGCCUACCUUGUAGGUGUGUGAUCCUCGCUUGAACCCCCUUUGAGCCUUGACCUUUUCUUGGAAGAAACUUGAUGAAAUUGUGACCUUUCUUUAUCCAUUACCCAUGAUCCUCAUGAAUUAGUUUGAAUAGCCAACUUAGGCCAAAAGCCUAAGUUGGGGUGUGGUGAAAAAAGAAGGUAAAUCAAGAAGUGCAAGAAAGUCCCCUUUGACCCAUGGUUUUGAGAAAAAAAUGGAACCCCUCCAUAUAUAUUUUAAAAAAAAGAGAAAAAGAAGAAAAGAAUGAAAAACAACGAAAAAGUUGUGGAUUAAAGUUGUGAAAGUGAAAAGAAAAUGGGGUAUCCAACAGUCCAUGGAAGAUGAAUAAUGGGUGACUUGUGAGCACAAAGGAGAAUGAUAAAGAAAAGGAAAGAAAGUGUUGUUCACACCACAUUUCAUGAGGAUUACAACCAUUGAGCCUAAAUGACCAUACCCGUGCACUCAGCCCCAUUACAAGCCUUGAAAAGACUUUUUUGAUCUUCAGUGAGCUGAAACAAUUGUUGGAUGGAAAAUAAGGGCAAACUUAUGGGUAAAAUCAUGCAUUGUGUUCAUCUUUGUGAGUGUGAGCGUUGCAUUUGAUUCCGGAGCUUUAAUUUGUGAACCAUUAUCUGUGAAUAUGGAAUCAUCCUUUUUGUGAGGGCAUUUGAACACCUUUGUUGAGCUUGAAGUUGCAUUUGAAGCAAGUAUUGUGAGCUUGAGAUUCUUUGAUAAUGGUGAGUCAGAACUUGAAUUUUUGAGUGCACAAUUGAUCCUUGCAUGAGUAAGUUGAGUCUUUUUGUGUGCAUUCAUGAUUGAGUCUUAUGUAGCACUGUUUGAGACAUCCUUUUUGAACUGUUGAACUUGAGUUCUACUUGAGGACAAGCUAAAAGUUUAAGUUGGUGGUGUUGAUGAGUCCACAUUUUUGACUCAUUUAGGGCUUUAUUUUAAUAGAUUUUAGUGUCCUCAAAUGAAUAUUUUGUGCCAAUAAUUGAUGUAAAUCCGGGAAUUUCAGGUAUUUGGAUUGAGGAACAAAGCAUGGAUACUAAAGAGCAAAAAGGAACAAGGCAGCUGAAAGAAUGAAGAAAAGAAGGCCUGAGGAUCGCCUAUACCAUUGGGCGAGUCGCCGAACGGCCAUGGUCUCGCCUAAUGUUCCAGUGUGCCAAGCCCUGAAGGAUAAAAUCAAGUCGGCGAUAGAAAGGAGUAGUCGGCGAGUCGCCGAACGAUUCCACGAUGCAGUGCCAUAGUGCCCAAAGUUAUAGAACUUGAAGUCACUGAAGGCUAAAGUAAAAAGGCGAUGGAACUGACCAAAGGGCGGAUUGCCGAGUGGAUCGGCGAUCUCAACUUAUUGCGCCGAAUGGUCCUUCGCAAUACAUUUUUGGCUACUAUAAAUACACUUUUGAAUAUUUAGUUUAGUAUCUAUCUUUAUGUUUUUUUAUGCAAUUUUCAAUAUUUUAUUUUAGGUAUCAGUUUUUGAGUAGAAAGCUUAGAACUGAGUUUAGAGACAAUAUUUUCCUUAAUUUUAAAGAUUUGAAGAUUUCUAUUUCCGAGAAAUUGGAAGUAGGUGUUGACGAUUCUUCAUCUUAGACCUUUGUAAAGACAAUAUUAAUCGUACCCAGUUGAUGGAAACACAAUUUGGUAACAAUUUCUACCUUUUUACUAUGUCUAGCUAAAACCCCAAUUCUUGGGGUGUGAUUAUGUGAUUAUGGAUUGAUUUAGCUGCUGGGUAUUGUUAUUUGAUAGUGUAAAUGUUGUUUAAAAGUGAUUCGAUUCAGUAAUUGUGACUUAAUCUAAAGGGUUGUAGUUGCAAAUGCAACUCUACCUUCGUGUUUUUGGCUUGCUCGAGAGAGAGGUUUUAAAACCAAGAUUACUGAUUUGGUGGUCUGUGGGUAUUAGGUUGUCAUGGGUUCAGCUCGAGAGAGUGAACCCUAAACCCUUUUCCACACAGUCAGCUCGAGAGAGUUCUUAAUUGCUGCUUAUUGGUAUUCGAGAGAAACCAAUUUGAUUUGGGGUAAAUUGUUCGAGAGAAAGUUUACCCCCACUAAAGUAUAGCUUAUUCACUGAUUUAUAGCUAUUUACUAUCAAUUGCAAUUACCUAUUUGCCUACCUUAGCCCAUAAUCCAAUCACAUCCCAAGAAUCUAUCUCUAUAUUUGCUAUUUUCGUGUUAUUUGUUGUUGUAGUUGUUAAUUACAACCAAAAUCCCCCUAUUAUUUGACCCUUGUGUCACCCCAAACUUGAACUAUGCUUUUAUUCGUAAAUAUUUUUACCUAUGAUUGACUUGAACAUAUUCAUGUUUGACUUUUGAUUCUCAAACCACUCCCUGUGGGAACGAUCCCAACUCACUUAGUUGAGUUAUAUUACUACUCACGAUCGUUGGCACUUAGUAUUGGAUGAAGUGACCUGAUACGUGAAAUCAGUCAGGUCCCUCAUUUUGAUACAAAACUUGUAGAAACUUUUUCUCCUUUUAUGCUAAUCAACGUUCUCUCUUAUCACACCCACUUAAUUUGCUCCUAAAAUUUCUCAGUUCCCCUAAAUCACUCAAGCGAAUCAAAAUUCAAAAUUUAAAAAUUUCAUCCAUCCCUCCUCCGUCUUUUUCUUUGGGUUUAACUCAAGUUUUAUUUUUAAAAUUGCAGAUUCCAUUGCCAAAUCUAAUUGUAAGAACAUUGUAAGAGUUCAACAUCAAAAUCCAUUGAUGUUACUUUGUUGAUCGGAAUACAACGAAAAGGUUAUAUACCAUGGACUAACAAGAAGUAGAAGAUUUUGAGGUAUAACAUUGUUUUCAUUUUUUUACUGUAUAUGUAUAAUUUAAUUGAAGAUUUUGAGGUAUAACUUUGUUUUCCUUUUUUUUAAUCGAUAUAUGUAUAAUUUAAUUUAUAUGUGAGAUAGCAAAUGAGUUGUAAUCUAAAUUAUUUGUAUAUAUUACAUAAUUAAUAAACAAUUAUAACAAUUGUGUAACUAUAACAAUUAUUCAAUAUAAUUGAAAAAUUUCAGAAAUAGCAAACAUAAUAGACAUAAUAAGGCUCUAUAGCUAUAGUUUCGAUAAUUGCACUCCAUAACUAUAAUUUUGUUUGCUAUAGAGGAUGUGGUUGUAUAUUUAUGUUCGUUUGUAUAUUUGGUUUGCGAAUAUACAAAUACGGUAAGUACAUACAAAUUAUGUAUUUAUACAUUUAGAAAUUUUUCAGAACUCCGUUAGUAUAUUUCACUUGUCAAUAUACAAACAAAGUAAUUUAUUAUGAUUUUUUCAUAAAUCUUAUACAAAUAGCUAGGGUAAGCCUAUACAAAAUUCUGGAUAUAUACAAUCAGGAACCGAAUUAUAUAAAUUCUGGAUUUAUACAAAUCAGACAAAUUAUACAAAUCAAACUAAUAGAAAAAUUGGGAGAAACUAUAGCUAUAGCUGCGAAUUAGAAUUUUGCUAAACAGUAGCUAUAUCAUUUUAUAUGGUUUAAAUGUUUGCUAUUCUGGACACUUUUCCCAUAUAGCUAUACCAUCCUUACAUGUUUGUAUAGUGAAAUUUGUUAUUUAUAUAUAUCUUAUUUCAAUGUUUACAUAUACAUUUUGUUAAAUAGUAUCUAAUGACCCGUCUAACUUAUACAAUUAUUUAUAUUAAUAUUAUUUAUUUAGGAGGUCCACAAUUAGUACUAUUUUUCAUUAAGAAGAGGAAGUCUUAUUUGGUAAGGUAUUCUAAUUAUAUUCAACAAUCUUUAAUUAAAGAUUCUGAUUAGAUUCAAUAAAUUUUAAUUAUGAGAUCAUUUUCCUUUAUUACAACCGAAACUGUCCAUAAUUAGCUAACUAAAUUUAAACACCAUUUUGUAUAAUUAAUUAAAAAAAACCAAAAUAUACAAAAAAAAAUCAUUUAGCUAUUUAAACUAUAGCUAUGUUGCGUAAAUAGGCAAACUCUAGUUAAGGAAGCCUAUUAUGUUUCCUAUGAUAGUUAUUUUUAAAAUGGAAUAAAUACACUUUAAAUGUUGACGAGGCAUAAAGAGUGUAGUGACGAGUCCAAUAUUUUAAAGUUGUGGGUGCUCCUUUAGCUACCAAUCACAAAAUAUAAGUGCGCAAAUUUAACACUUGUCAUAAGAAAAAACAAUCAAUUUUUAAAAGGUCAAACAUGUUGUUAAAGUAUUUUAAUAAAUUAAUUUUUCAAUUUUUAUUUUAUUUAAUUUUGUGUUCUUACCAUGAUACGAAAUUGCAUGAUUUUGGAAAUAAUUUGGUAUACUUAUGUAUUGACAGCGAUAUUUGUGUUGACAUGAAAAUAGUAUAAUUUUGAUAUACUGAUGUUUAUUGUUAAUGUAAACUAAAUAUUGUGUAAAUGUGGCAUAUUGGUGUAAUUUGUGUUUACAAGUGACAUUAAAUUUAUAUGAAAUAGAUAUGAUAUUUUUAAAAAAAUAUAAACUGUAUAAAGUCUAAAUUAUAUUCGUAUCAUAUUAUUAUAAUAUAUAUAUAUAUAUUUGGCAUGAAGACAAUAUAUAUAAAGUUUGUAUUUUUUGAUGUAUAAUUUAUAUUUAUAAACAACAUUUUUCGAUGUGUAAUUUAUAUUUAUAUAUAUAUGUGGCAUGAAAUUGGGAUGAAAAUUGGUAUAGAGAUUAGUCACAUUUUAUAUGAAAUUGGUAUGACUUUGUUGUAAUAUGUAUACGCAUCUGAAUGAAAUUGGUAUAAUUUUUUUGUAUCAAUAUGUGAUCUACUCUUUUUAGUUGAUAUCAAAUAACAAUUAUAUUUCAGGUAAGAAAGAGAUUACCCAUUGGUAUCUAGAAGUAAUGUAAUUGAUGCAUAUAAAUUUGGUAUGUAGUUGGAUUUCAUUGAGUUCUACACCAUCUUUAUAAGUAGCUAAAGUUCAAUUUCAUACCAAAGAUUCCACAUAGAGUGAAUUAUAUAUGAUUCAUUCAGCCUAUAUAAUGGUCUGGUUAAUGCCAUAACUUCACAACUAGAAGUAGACACUAGUGUUGAUGAACAAGAGAUUAAGUAUAUUGUUAGUUAAUGAUGUCCACCACUUCGUAUACAUAAUGAUGUGGGUGUACGAGUGAACUUGGAUCCGAAGAAAAUUACCAUUGGUUUCUUUAUCAAAUACAUUGUUCAUAGCAUUAAAGAAUCGGGUUAUGAAUGUAACACCCCAAAAAUUUCUAAGCUAAGACCCGAAUCAUUCUAUAACACCUUGCAACUGUAAUUUUAAAUUUGAAUCGUUCGUGUAACACCUUGGACUUGAGAGAGGUAAAAGAGGGUUAACGGGUAUUAGGUCCAUAUGUAACGUCCAGAACCAUCGUUAUUCAGGAAAAGCAAAACUUCGGGGAAUUCAUUGGGCCACUGUCCCGCCAGGGCGGGCCAGAUGCCGUUAGGGCGGCAGCGCCACGGCAGGGUAAACUAGCGCCAGAGCGGGAUAGGCGAGACAGAAUAUAAACAACGCGAAAUCUUAUUUUCUCCUUGCUAAAAUACCUAAUUUAGACGUAAACUAUCCUAGGAACCCCCAAAAAGCUGUUCUAAGCUUGGGAAAGAAGGAGAAGGAGAUUUCUAGCGUGAGGUGAUAGAUGGAUGCGGAUUUGUAGUCAAGAUCACCGUCCCGUCGUCCGGAAAACCAGAAAUUCAUCUAUAAUCCUUUGUGAAUGCUUGGCGCUCAGGUAGGCUAGGUUUUAUUAAUUUAGUAGUUAUAAAUCUGUGCUCAGUGCGUAGUAUAAUGUAAAUCGCAAGUAGAAUUCAUGCAUAAGCCUUCGUGCACCCAAUUGAGGGAUGACUAUGUUGUGAUUCUAGCAGUUGCGUAGGAUGUGUAUCAUGAAAAGGGGAAAAACCUCGCCCUAGGGUUAGGGUUAGGUGAGGAUGGUGAUUUCAUGAUCGUGUGGUAUAUGUUGUUAUUGCUUCAUUAUGAUGCGUGUAUGUAUGUAAAUGUUGCAUUAUUGAUCACACUAAUUGUAAAUAAGGAUAUAUGAACGAUGAAUGACUUGAAUCACUUCUUGAUUGUAUGAGCAUUGAGAAUAUGCUUGUGAUUGUGAUUGUGAUUGUGAUUGUGAUUGUGAUUCUGAUUAUGAUUGUGAUUGUGAUUAUGGCUUGUUGAAUAGAUCGGGUGUUGCGCUCCGACACACUAACUUGGAUCGGUUGCCACGUUCCGACAUAAAUAUGAGAUUGGUUGCCACAUUCUGACAUAAACAUUGGAUCGGGUACCACGUACCGGUACACUAACAGUUUGGGUUUAGGUUCCGUGAGAGGACCAUUGAUUUGUGAUCUAUGUGUAUGGUUGGGAUUGUGAAAUAUUACAUUGUUCCUGAAUUGAUCCGUGUUAUGGUAACUUAUAUGUGAUUACUUCGUUAUGUUGUGUAAACCGGGGAUGUAUCUCGUUUGUUGAAUGAUUUUGGAAGAGUUGAGACCACAUCGGGAUAUGGUGCGGUAAGUGGGGACCCAAAGGUCCAAGAGUUGCUAUUGAUUAGGAAGGGGGUUGGUCGUAUUAUUAAGGGUGAGAAGUGGAGGUAGUGUACGUGAUGUAAUUACUUAGGUGGAUUCCACCUUAGAGAAAGGGGUUUCGUGGUUAGUAGUUAGGAAGCCUGAUAUAAUGUACCAUGUGGCUAGGGCUGGGUAAUAAAAAAGAGAAAGUAAGAGCACGUCGUGGGUGGUUAGUCGGAAUAGUUGUAGUUGCAUUUUGUGGACUUUUCUACGUGUUAGAAUGGUUAGGUUGUGAUCAAGAACCUAGUAAGUAGGUUGACUGAGAAAGUAGUUGGUAGUAAGAGUACUAGUGUAAUUCUGAGGUAUUUAGAGAGAGGGUAAAGGUGGAGAAACGAGGGGUUUAUUGCAUGUUCUUGCUAGUUAAUUUCUUAUUUUGUGCGGUGGGAGUCGGGUUGACCGAUGAUGUCUACCAGUAUGUGUGGUUUGUAUUGAUACUACUCUUGCUAUGCCUUUUUGGCAUAGUCUGGAUGCAAGUCGGUGAUGUUUCAUUAAGUGAAGACGAAGAAAUCUCCAGCAGCUUCUAUUUUUCCUUCCGCAUGGUGGGAGCAGUGUCUUUUAUGUAUUAUGUCCAGUUUGUACUCUUAGUAGUUGUUGUACCUGUUUAGACUAGUUCCUUGGGGGUGUUAAUUAAUUUACAAGUCUUAACCCAGAUUUGUUUAAGAAGGUUUUCAUUAUAAAAACUCUAUGAUUUCAUUUAUCUCCGUUUUUCUUUAAUUUCUGCAUGUUUGACUAUUGGGGUAUGAGGGUUCUCCGACUUAGGUGGUAGUAUGUAGGUGCCCGCACGGCCCGGUGGGUUGGGUCGUGGCACCAUAGCACUAAAAUAGAAAGGGCCACCUGGACAACUCCCUAUAUGGGCCGUAUAGGGUUGGACGGUCCAUUUUUGGUCCAUCUAGGGUCACCCGUCAACUUUAAACUUAAGGUAAAUUCUUUAAAUGUGGGAAUGAUUUUGGAUAUAAAUUAAGGUCACUAGUUGAGUUGAAAGUUUUCUUACCGAUUGAGUAUCCAUUUGAGAUUUUACUAAGGUAAACUUUACACGACUAUAUCUCUCAGCAUAUAAUGAAUUCAAUGGCCAAUGACCUAUCAAAUUAAAGGUCUUUGAGUCCUCUUUCCAACGCCACCAAUUUUGCCUUAUUUUGAGUUCGGAGUAAGAAGUUAUGCCCAUUUUAAAAAGGUCGUGUCAGACAUACAAAGGUUCAUAGACGGUUAUACGGCCAGUGAAGUUUUUCACGGGCCAUGAAGCCUUAAACGGUCUGUGAAGCCUUCCUUGAAGGGCAAUCCAUCAAUUUUUAAGUUAGGGUCGUUUUGGUCUUUCCCCUAUGCAUUUGGUACUUAAAAUACGUUGUUUUAACUCUGAUUCUAAUCCUAAACUACGACAUUUUACACCUAGUUAAGGGCUUAGAAAGUGUUAAUCAGUUCUUUUAAGUUCAUUAACACUUAAGUCAUUAGAUCAAGGUUCUGAGAGGAGAAAAGCUAGGAUUUUCAAGCGUUCUUCGAGUUUCAUCGAUUUCGCCAAGAAGUUCGUUCUUCCAGGUACGUAAGACUAUCAUAUUGUUGGACUAGUUCAUCCGCAUGCCAUACAUAUACUUUAAAAUUAGUAAAAGAGUAAUAGAGGGUUCUAUCCUUAAAUUUGAGUAUUCUUGAAAUGAGUUUAUAUUGAGUUCCGAGGUCUUGAGUUACUGAUUAUUGAAUUCUAUUUCUUGAUUACUGAGUUGCUAUAUCUUGCAUUGAGAUUCUUGAGUUGAUUGUUCAUAUCUAUUUUUCAGAAUGGACACUAUUUUCUGAGUAUUCAUUGAGUUCUUAUUGAGAAUCUUUUAAACAAAACAUAUUGCUUAAAUUGAGUUUUGAGAAAGUAAAGAGGAGUUUGAGAAACAGCUUAACCAAGAUUUAAGCAGGAGUAUAAGGGACUAAGUAUUUCCCAAAUGUUUCAUUUUUCCAUGAGGAAAAAUAAUAUUAUUUUGAGAAAAGUUAGAAGAGUUUUAAAAAAGAUUGAGUACAGAGAAUUUACCUCUUAAAGAGGCCCCUUCUGAGUAAUUAUCUCAACCCAAAUGUAUUUUUACAUUGAGCACGGAGAAACCUUGUUUUUCUCAAUGAGCAAUGAGUUUCAAAGAUAUUUAGGGCAGUUACCUCUUUUAAGAGGAUAGUUUGAGGAAUUAUCUCAAACCAGAGAAAUAGUAUGUUUUUAUACAUUUGAGCAAGAGUAUGUAUUAUUGGAAGUAGUAUUGAGCACCAAUAUGGGGGAGAGUUUAGACAACUCACAACUCCCAUAAACCAUGUCUUGCCAACGUGGGUACAAGAUCAUAGUUUUAAGAUGAAUUUUUAUUUCUUAGUGGAUCCACUUAGUUGAGAGGUUCUAUAUCCCCGCACGAUAUAUGACAGUACUGACAGUGUGGACAAGACGUUGUAUCACCACGUAACUCAUAUUGAUGGUUUUCGUUUAGAGAAUCUCCCAAUAGAGUUAAAGUGUAUUUUAAUAUAUGACUUAUUAUGGUGAGUUCAAAGAUGAGUAAGUAUUUUGUUAAUCUUUAAGUGAUUUAACUCCUUUAUUUCUUUACAUUCAACUCAUAUAUAUUUUUAUCUAUUACAGUCGUUUCAUUCAGUUAUUUCGCUUCGGCUACAUUACUUACUCGUACAUUCAAAUGUAUUGAUGUCAUUUGACCUGCAUCUUUUUAUGAUGCAGAUAUAGAUGUUCAUGAUCAUCAAUAGGCACUUCGUUGAGAUCACUCUACACUCCAGCUAGCUUUUGAUGAGCAUUCUUGUAUUCCAAAGGACUUCACAUUUACUUUCAUUUUAGUUGUUUUGAGGCGUCAUGGGUCUUGUCCUGACACCUAUCUUAAACAUUAGAGUCUUCAUAGAUAGAUAAAGUUGAGGAGUCUUUCAGUAUUUACUUUUCCUUGAGAUAUUUUUGCAAACUAUUAUACUUAUGUUAUUGAGUAUUUUACAGAUAUUUUGAGUAGAGUAUUGACUUUGAGUUUAAAUGUUUAAAAUUAUGUUUACGCCUAUUAUCACUUGAGUGAGUCUUCUGCUAAGUAGUCAGCUAGGCCAAGAGUUUGCUUGGGGAUUAGAAAUAGUUCUCGAGUAUUAGCCACGUCCAGGGUGUAGGCUCGUGGUGUGAAAAACUUUGUAUCAGAGCACAGAGUUCAAGUUUCUUAGGAUGUCUAUGAAACCAUGUUAGUAGGAUCUUAUUUAUGGCUGUGAGGGUCCCACUUCUAUAAAUGAGGGACUACAUACAUUUAAGAAAAGUUCCCCUUUUUAUACUCUAGAUAAUGCAAUAGAACUGUGUCAUUGGAAACUUAUUCAAACUUGUGCAUUUUUCAAAUAUAUUUGACUACCCCUCAUACUCAAGGUGGUUGAAAUAAAAAAGAUCAGAUCCUUAUCGAUGUGUUACUUUCAAAAAAAUUCUUCAUGACUUUUGAGGGGCUUGAGAGAAGCCCUUGAGUAAGCUUAAGUGUUUAGAUUCGAGAGAAUGGCACUUUAAUUCAUAUGAAUCGUGUGUUCUAGCUAAACACGAGAUGUACUCCCAGAAUCUAUUCUCUAAGCCUCAUUUGAGGUGAUACCCUUUAAGAUAAAAAUAUGUUUUAGAGCUUGGAUAGGGUUUUCAUCCAAAAGGAUAGUAUGAGUUACGAUGUUAUAAAUAGUAGUAGUAAAAGUGCCCAGAAUUAGAAGUAUGCAUUUAGAGGUGUAGUAACCUAAGAAAUGAGUAUAGUUAUUGAGUAAAGUGUGUAGUUGCAGUCAUGUACCUAGUAAGUCAUUAAUGAGAAGUUUUCCUUUAUGUGUAGGCAAAGGAAUAAUAAUUUUUUAUGGAUUUCAUGAUAGAAGGUAGAUAACUAGUUGCUAGCUAGGAUGAGUUAGAGUAUACUUUAACCAGAAGGGAGUUUAUGUCGAUGUAACAUCGUGUUAAUGAAGACCAAGUAUAGGUGUUGAAUAAAAGAAUAGAGUAUUCAUGAGGUGAUAGACCUAAGCUAGGCUUAUGAUUUUUGAAGGGAGAUCCCUAUGGUAUUUAGAGGGUUAUAGAACUAAUUAGGCAAGGAUGUAUAGUGAAUGGGUAAAUAUUACUUAGGUUGUGAAAAAGGUUGUGAUGAUAAUCAGUAAAUAGGUAGACUGAGAGAUAAAGAUUGACUACUUGUCAAGAGAACUUAGUGGGUGGGUGUUUCUUAAUUUUAUCUAGUAGUUGUAAGUUAGUAUAGUAAGUGAGCAAUUAUACUGAUAUUAGUAUUUAGUAAUAGACACUAAGCUUGAAUUUGAGAUGAGUGUCGUGAUCAAAAGGAUGGCAACAUGAGGGAGAUGAUGUUACGUUAGUUCGAGAUCUGAUCUAGUAGGUUUGACAUAAAUUAGGUGAGAAAUUAAGGUGUUAGUUUUUGCUAAGUGUGAGUGGUACAAGUGUGGUAUUAUUACUCUUAGAUGAGAUCAAGAGAGAAUGGCUAUGUUAUUAUAUUAGCAAGAGCAUUAAGAGGUGUAACUGAGAUCGUAUGUAGUCAGACGAGGUUCCAAUUAAGUUAAUGAUUUUCCAUGUGUGCCUAGAUAGUAUAUUUGAGUUGUCAAUGUGAAAUAGGCUGAUGUAAGCAUUAUUUUUUCCUUAAGAGUUAGAUGAAGCGGCCUUAUAAGCCAAUGAGAAGAGGUUAAGAGAAGCAUUUUGGAAAGAAGUCUUAGAAGGAUCCCUGGUAACCACACAUAGCGAGUUCAGUAGCCAUGAGAUAAGCCUUUUCCGAGUAUUAGAGUAAAGAGAAUGUAGACCAGUUUAGAGAUGAUGGAAUAUAUCCAUAGUUUUAAAGUUUCAGCUUCUAACCUAAGGGUGAGAUGAUAAGAUGAGAAAUCAAGUCAAGUAUGGAAAAUCAGAUAGCGAUGAGUUCAGAAAGAGUUUUAAAGAUAUAUCAAACAAUUCAUAAUCUUGCGUAUUCAUCAAAGUUCAGUCAUUCCAAUAUCUUAUUAAUAUCUCUAAUAUCAGCAUUGUGUCCAUAACAUGUGCUCAUACACUUUAGAGAGUUUCACAUCUAUGCUCAGUUUCGAGAAUGAGGGGCAAAGUAUGCUCAGUAUCAUAAAUUUAUGGUUUGAUCUCCAUGGCUAGCAACAUAAUGUUAUGUCAUGCAUAUUCUUAUAUCAAAAUUCUUGAAAGAAUCGUGCUUAUGAUCUUUCGCCCUAAAGUUCUUUCAGUGAUCCUUUUUAGUUAGAGAGUGAUGUUGAUGAUAGUAGUUGAGUGAUGAUAAAAUGAGAAGGUUGAUGUUUCUUAUGUUGGUAGAAGUAGUGUGCUUAUUUCAUCUAAGGUUAUAAAGGUGGAUGAAAGAUGAAUGAAGUUUUACUAUGAGUAAUAGUUAGGUAAGAGUAGUUAGUUAGUUCCUGAUAGUAAUACGUGAAAUUUAAAUUGAUAGAGAUGAUGAGAACAGGAGGAAUUCUCAUAAGGAUUGGCUAGUAGGAAUCCAUAAAUUGACUAUAGUACUAGGCUUAUAUGUGGUGUUAUUACAUGUGGAUGAAUACAUGAUGCAUUAGAUGUUUCUUGACUAGGACUCAAAGUUUUGUUGAAUAUAGUGGUAAGGAGUAGUAUUUAUAGGAUGAGAUUUCCUAUAGAGGCAUAAAACCUUAAUCUUGUGGUUUAGAUUCUUAUAAACAUCUCAUGUUUAGCUUCUUGUGAUAUAGAGAUUAGGCUUAAACACAGUAAGACAAACAAUAUAACUUAGACCUUGGUAAGAGUAGUUAUAAACCCUUGUAGCAGUUAUGAGUUGCAGCUAAUGAGGUGCAGUAUUCAUAAAGGAGGACAUGAUUUAGAGGUGUUUCUAGGCUUGAAAGCUAGCCGUUGUAUUUCUUAAGGCAUAAUGUCUUAUUCUGAAUUGAUGCCCAAAUACCCUUGUUUCAUGUAAGAUAACUUCAAAUAGAGCGUGACUAUGUUCAAAACAAUAUCGUCCUCGACUUAUGUGUUAUAGACAGUUCCAAACUCUUAGUAUGAAUCAGUUCUGUCCAUGUUAGUAGGCAAGUUCAGAAGUUAGAAAGAUAGAAAGAGUAACUCUCUUCCUUUCCAUUCUUAAUUUAUCCGUCAUUCGAGGAUGAAUGAUCCCAAGGGGGAGAUAUAGUAACACCCCAAAAACUUCUAAGCUAAGAUCCGAGUCAUUCUAUAACACCUUGCAACUCUACUAUUAAAAUUUGAAGAAUUUGUGUAUUGCUACACCCCCUUUCCACUAUCUCAAAUAGAGCACUAGCCGUAAGAGAAAGAGGUGUUGAAUAUGGCAAAUCAUCUGCUAAGCAAGCCGAAAGAAACAAACAAAGAGUCUUACUUUAAAGAAAAAGCCUAUUCUUAUUCUAGAAAUCCUGCACACUAUUAAUCGAAGGUACUUAGCACUCACCGCUAUAACAUGUGGAAAUUUAUUGGCCCGACAUCUAUUGCAAUGAAUUUUUAGCUUUUCCUUAGCCCUCUUCUUUAGCACUGGCUUACUCACAAGAAGCUUCCUAGAAGAUGGCUCUUAGUUAGACUUGUACUAGUUAGGAUAUCACAUAAGGGUUCUAUUCCCAGUUCUUAUUACCCAGCUUUAUGAGAAAGUGGGAGAUCUCUUUCAUGGGAAAUCUGAUGUACGGGUCACACCGACCUUUUCCCAUGACAUCCAAUUGAUUGAGGCUGAUUAGUUACGGGACGACGUGGCUCAGAGAAAGCCGCCACCACCACACCACACCCAUUGUUGAUCCAAUUUUAUUGGCUUCUGAUGUCACCACACCUGCUCCUUCUCGGAGAAGGCAUGUAUAUCUUCCUCCCCCACUGUGGUUUCCACCUCUGCAUCUCCUUCUCCUACUACUACUAUUACUACUACUACUACUACUGUUGUUUCAGAUAUGCCUACCCCCGCUCCUACUACUCAUUCCCCUUUGACCUAGACUUUGAUUUAUCAAAUAGGCAGUCUUGCCCAAUCCGUGGAUGUCGAGCUGCCAGGGUUGAAAAGGACAUGCCCAAGCUGAUUGAUAGGGAAAUUGAGAAGGCAUUGUCACCUUUGAGGGAUAGGGUGAACAAAUGUGAGGGGUUGGUUGAAUCACACAACGUGAGGUUGGACAACCUCACUACUAGGUUAGAGGCCCAAAAGUCUUGUUUGGGUUAGGGAUACAGAUUCUGAAACCCCUAUUCUUGAGUCGGUUCCUAUUGUAUAUGAGUUUUUGAAAGCAUUUCUUGUUGAUUUAUCCGGUGUUCCUCCUAUAAGGGAAAUAGAUUCAUGUAUUGACCUUCUCAUAGAUAAGCAACCUAUCUAUAUUCCUUCGUAUCGUAUGGCUCUAGCAGAACUAAAGUAAUUAAAGGAGAAAUUGAAAGAUUUGGUGAUUAAGGGUUUCAUCCGACCGAGUAUCUAUAGUUUUGUUUGUUCGUAAGAAAGAUGGUUUACAUCACCUGUCUAUUGACUUCAAGCAACUAAACAAGUUUACCCUUAAGAAUAAGUAUCAUCUUCCAAGAAAAUAUGAUUUAUUUGAUUAACUCCAAGGAGUGGGUUACUUUAUUGACCUCUGGUUGGGUUAUCACCAAUUGAGGGUGAAGGAAGGUGACAUUUCGAAAAUAACUUUUCGAACUUGGUAUGGCCAUUAUAUGUUUUUGGUAAUGUCGUUUUGUUUGGAUAAUGCUCAGGCCGCAUUCAUGGAUUUGAUGAAUAGAGUGUUUAGACAAUAUCUUGAUAUGUUAUUUUCCUUAUCGAUGACAUAUUUAUUUACUUGUGGAGUGAGAAUGAGCAAGCAAAUCAUUUGAGGAUUGUGUUGCAAGUCCUCAAGAACCGACAACUAUUUGCAAAGUUUUGUAAAUGCAAGUUUUGGUUGAGAUGUAUGAAUUUUCUUGGUCACAUUGUUUCCCGUAAGGGUAUUGAGGUAGAUCCUAAGAAUACGGAUGCGGUUAACAUUUGGCCUAGACCUCUAUCCCCUUAAAAUAUUUGAAGCUUCUUGGGCUUAGCUAGUUAUUAUAGAAGGUUUGUGGAAGGGUUUUCUUUGAUUACCUCUCCAUUGACUGCAUUCACCCAAAAAAGUUCUUAUUGUAGAAAAAAUGUGAAAAGAAUUUUCAAGAGUUGAAAGAUAUACUUAACUCCACUCUAGUGUUGAAUUUACCGGAAAGGUACGAUGGGCUUGUUGUUUAUUGUGAUGCUGCAAGGAUUGAAUUAGGUUAUGUUCUUAUGCAUAAUGGGAAAAUUAUUCAAGGUAACUUAAGAUUCUCGAAAAGAACUAUCCUACUCAUGUUUUGGAACUAGCGGCUGUUGUUUUUUCCUUAAAGAUUUGGAGGCAUUACUUGUAUGGUGUCCAUGUUGAUGUUUUUAUCGGUCACAAAAGUUUGCAAUAUUUGUUCAAGAAAAAAGAUCUACAUUUUCACCAACAUAGAUGGCUAGAACUCUUGAAGGACUAUGACAUGAGUGUCCUCUAUCACCCGAGCAAGGCCAAUGUGGUGGUUGAUGCCUUAAGUCAAUUGUUUAUGAAUAGUGUUGCACAUGUUGAGGAUGGUAAGAACAAACUGGUUCAUGAUAUUCAUAUACUAGUUCGUCUAGGUAUUCAUUUGGUUGAUUCAAGUGAGGGUAGUGUUGUUGUUCAUAAUGGUUCAUAAUCGUCUUUUGUGUCGGAUGUGAAAACCAAGCAAUGUCUUGAUCUGAUUUCUAUUUAGUUGAAGGAAGUGGUGCUUAAAAAGUUUGUUGAGGCGUUAUCCCAAGAGGGAUAUGGUGUGCUACGAUAUCAAGGUCGUUUGUGUGUUUCCAAUAUUAAUGACCUGAGAGAGCAAAUUUUUUCAGAAGCCCAUAGUUCUUGAUAUUCCAUUUACUCGGGAGCCACCAAGAUGUACCUUCACUUGUGAGAGUUCUAUUGGUGGAAUGAGAUGAAGAAUAAUAUUGCAGAAUUUGUGGCUAAAUGUCCUAAUUGUCAACAAGUAAAAGUUGAGCAUCAAAAGUCGGGAGGUUUGUCCCACGAUAUUAGUAAUUGUACUUUGAAGUGGGAAGAUUAAAAUAUGGAAUUUAUUGUUUGUUUACCCCACACCCGAUGACAACAUGACUCUAUUUGGGUUAUUGUAUAUUGUAUGAAAAAGUCGGCUUAUUUCAUUCCCGUCAAGGUUUCUUACUCGGCGGAGGAUUAUACUAAGUUGUAUCUAUAAGAAAUGGUUAGGUUGCAUGGAGUUCACCUAUCCAUUAUCUCCGAUCGUGGUACCCAAUUUACUUCUCAAUUUUGGAAGUCUUUCCAAAAGGGUCUUGGUACUCGUGUCAAGCUUAGUAUGACAUUUCAUCCUCAAACUGAUGGGCAAGCGAAACGUAAAAUCCAAAAUUUGGAAGAAAUGUUGAGAGCUUAUGUGAUUGAGUUCAAGGAUAAAUGGGAUGAUCAUUUGCCUUUGAUUGAGUUUUCAUAUAAUAAUAGUUGUCAUUUAAGUGUUGUUAUGCCUCCAUUUGAGGCUCUUUAUGGUGGGAGGUGUAUAUAUCCUAUAGGUUGAUUUGAAGUUGGUGAGGUUGAUUUGAUAGGUCUCAAGUUGAUUUAUGAGGCUAUGGAAAAGGUUUGACUCAUUAGAGAAAGGUUGAAAAUGGCUCAAAGUCGACAAAAGUCCUAUGCCAAUGUUAGAGGAAGAGAUCUUGAGUUUGAUGUUGAUGAUUGGGUUUACUUGAAAAUUUCACCUAUGAAUGGUGUAAUGAGCUAAGGGAAUCUUAGUCUCCGAUACGUAGGCCCAUAUGAAAUUUUGAGGCGUAUUGGUUAAGUUGCUUAUGAACUUGAUUUACUUAAUGAUUUAGCAUAGGUACAUCCAUUUUCCAUGUAUCACUGUUGAAGAAGUAUAUUGGAGAUUCAAUAUCUAUUGUACCAUUAGAGAAUCUUGGUAUAAAGGAAAUCCUUUUUUAGGAGGUUCCGAUUGAGAUUUUAGAUCGGCAAGCUUGAAAGUUGAGAAACAAGGAGGUGGUAUCUAUAGAAGUGUUGUGGAGGAAUCAAAUGGUGAAUGUGCUAUUGGGAGGCUGAGGCCGUUAUAAUAUCCCAAUAUCCUCAUAUCGUUCCCUCCAUUCCUAUUUUAGCUUGAGGUAUAUAACUCCUCAUGGUUCUUUCUUUCGGAUUCAUAUGUAGUAGUCAUUCUCAUAUUUCCAUAUGUAUGCAUGUAUGUUUUAUGAAAUGAUAUUUUGAAUAUGUUUUAACUUGGAGUCAAUUUUCCUCCUUGGAUAUGUGCAUUUUGAUGAAAUUAAAUUCAUGUUGGGUUGUUAGUUUCUCUCCUACUCUCUUCAUGUUAGCUUGAGUCCCAUUUGAGGAAGAAUGUUCCCAAGGGGGAGAUAUUUUAACACCUUGGACUUUUAUAAAGGUUUAAGUGGGUUAACGGGCAAGUCUACCGACCCUAGCCCAACCAUGAACCUUUCACGGAUGCCUAAAUGGCUUGUCAAAGGGUCCAUAGCCUUUGGUGAGGGAAAGGGUGGCCGUUUAAGGAAACCCAUUUUUUUCCCUCACCUUCACGACCCCAUUCAUGGACCGUGAAAGGCUAAACGGUCCGUGUAAGGCACUCAUACAGGGCUCCCAUCAACUUUUUAAGACAAAGCUAUUUUGGACGUUUCCUAUGUGUUUAAUAACUAAGAUAUGUCAUUUUAACCCCUAUUAUAAACCUUAUAUAAGUGAUUUAUGUCCUAAAACUACCCAUUCUAAAUCAUUCUCCUAAAUCAUUAAUUUCCCUCCAAGUUCAUCCCCAAAAGUUCUCUCUAAAUCUAAGGAAGAAAAAGCUAGGGUUUCACUUCAAGAUCUUCAAUUCACCAUACCUAUUGGGCCUUGAUCACUAAGGUAUGUUAGUAACUGAAUAAAAAUGAAAAGACUAAUCAUAAACUAUAACUAGUUGUCUAUGAAGCCUCUAAUACAUAACUUAAUAUUCAAGUUUAUAGGUGACAACAUUCAAGAAGUUUUGGUAAGGGACGGCUAGAUAAUGAACACCAUUAAUUUGGAAAAUGCAUUUGGUGUUAUUAUCAUAAUAUGUAUGGGUUGUUUAACGAUUGAUGAAAUUAAGUUAUGUCAAUUGAGGUUAGAAGCUAUACUACGAUUUCAUGGAUUGAUUGUAUAUCAAGGAGGGUCAGGAUACGACUGCUCCAAUAGCAGUGAUGUUUACUUGGUUAAGUUAUUAAGAGUGUUAAAAUUGUGGAGAACCUGGGCAUAUGAGGAGGAAAUCAGCGAGGCCGUGGAGGUCGGAGAAAUGGUAAUGCAGGUAGAGGAGCAGUGCAGCCAGGCAAGGAGGUUACCCGUCAAGAUGACAGGGCUCAAUUUUAUGACUUUUUGGGCAAGAACGAGGCUGAGGUAUCUGAUGCAGUGAUCACAAGUACUAUUAUUGUUUAUGACUGAAUGGCUAAGGUAUUGUUUGAUCUGGAUUCUACUUAUUCUUAUGUGUCAGUGCGAUUUACCUCAGAAUUUGAUAUGAUUUGGGAUACACUUGAUGCCCCCAUCCAUGUUUCUACCCCAGUUGAAGAGUCAGUCAUAGUCACCCAUGUAUAUUGUGUUGUCCUAUUAUGUUUAUGAAUUUUCAGACUUGGGUUGAUUUGGUUAUGUUGGAUAUGACUGACUUGAUAUAAUCUUAAGCAUGACCUUGUUGUCUCCCUAUUAUGGUGUGCUUAAUGGUAAUGCUAAGUCGGUAACUCUAAAGAUCCCGGGUAAGGAAAGGUUAGAGUGGGAAAGGGGUACAAGCCUAAGUCAGUUAAGGUCGUAUCUUUCGUGCGGGCUAGGAAACUGGUGGGGUAGGGUUGUUUGGCUUAUUUGGCUCAUAUUCGGGAUGUUGAGGUUGAGUCUCCCUCUAUUGAGUCUAUUCAUGUAGUGUCUGAAUUUAGAGAAGUGUUUCCUACUGAUUUGCCUGGUAUGCCUCCGGAUAGAGAUAUAGAUUUAUGCAUUGAUUUGGAACUUGGUACUCGCCCCAUCUUCAUUGCUCCUUAUCGCAUGGCCCCAGAAGAAUUAAGAGAGCUUAAGGCUCAAAUCCAAGAGCUUCUUGAUAAAGGUUUCAUCCGUCGUAGUGUUUCCACGUGGGGUGCUCCUGUCUUGUUUGUUAAGAAGAAGGAUGGUGGUAUGAGGACUGAUGAUUUUAUCAUAAGCCAUAAAAGAGUGGAUUGAUACCGGAAUGAUCAGCUUAUGAAUAAAGAAGUCCCAAUAAGUAUACUUGGGUGAAGGUAAUUGAAGUAUUUUUAGUAAGAAAGUGCAUAUAAAAUUUGGUUAGUCCUUUUGAAUUUGAUGGAUAUACCUGAGUUUGAGGUGUCAUGUCGAUGAAAAGGUUGACUUUGUACUGAUAGUCAGGGCUAACCGAGUGUAAUGGUAGUAAGAGUGUGUGAUGAAUUGUAGUGGAAUGCAACUAUAUAAUAAGAUUGUUGGUUAAGAGAAUUUUGUAUAGUAAUUACGACUUGUGAUUAUCUAAGGUUGUGGUUUUCUAAUAUUUAGUGAGUAACUUGAUUGUAUGGAAAGUUUUAAGAGAUGGUGGGACACCAGUCGAAUAAAAUUUUAAAGAGCUAGAGUUAUAAUGAAGGAAAAUAUAGUGGAAUGUAGUACAGCCUUUAGAGAGAGGCGAGAGCAAGAACAUUUUAUUUUAUUGCAAAGGCCAAAGAGAUAUCUUCAGAGGGGUAGAUAAUUGGGCUCAGAGACGCAUGAUUUCAUUCAUUUUGUUGUCGCUGUGGUAAUAGUGUCACAAGUCCGUCAGAUUGGUUAAAAAACUAUUGGAAAAGACUUAAGAAAGGAGUGUACAGACAUUAGCUCGAGCGUGAUGAUAAGUGCGUUGUUUUUGUUUUAAGUUUAGUAAUGAGUACGAUUGAAUUGUUAGCGAAAGAUAUUGUAAGAUCGCUGGAGAUGUGAUCCAUGAUAAGCGAAGAUCCAUGAAUUCAUAAAAAUCUUCAAGAUAUAAGCUAAUGUUGAUAGAUAAGGGGAUUGUCUUAUACGGUUGAAUUUACAAUUCAGAUUCUUCAUUGUAAAUCUACAUUUGUGGUGAUAUAUAUUGUCAAGGUAUGAAUUUGCAAGGUGAGAAAUGAUCAAUUGUAUCUGGUAUUGAGAAUUUGAAAGGACUUACACCUGGGUUGAGUCGUAAAGUUGAUUAUUGUUGAUUGUUAAAGUACCUAAGAAAGGUUUUCAUUUAAAAGGUGUUGAUUUAGAGUAAGGUAAAUGGUCGGAUUGGUUAUGAUGGUUGUUAGUAUUGAGAGUGUGGGCUUCAAUGGAAGGACGUGAAGAGUAUGUGGAGUCAACUGAAUGGAAAUGACUAAUAUCGACUCUUUAGAGGAAAACCUUUAGUGUUAUUAAAUAUUUAUUUAGUAAAAUUGUUACGUGACCAUCUAUUUUAUUUUGUACAUGGUUGUGAGUAUGAUUCACUAGCUAAGCUCACGUGUGUUUUCACUUUUGUGGGUGGAUCCCUAGUGGUGGAUCAGGUGUACUGAUCCUGCGAUUUUCUCUUGGUUGAGUGGGAUGAUUUCGAAAGACAUGGUUAUUUUAGAUGACUUAUAUGGUGUUGUCUUGGAGCUUUUAAAGUAUUUCAGUGGUUUUACAUAUACCGCCUUGCUUAUGAGAGUUUAUAGAAGAGCUAUCAUGUGUAUCUAUGGUUGUCCGACAAUCUUAAUAUUCAUCUAGUCGUCGAGGUCAUGUAUCGAUUAUGUGUGUUUGAAUGUGGGGAUCAUUGGGUCCAAUUCUACUGUUCUUAAGAGGUAAUCUACAAUUACUAAAUCUAGCAUUUCGAUAGUGUUGUUGGAGGGUUUGUAUGCUUGGACAUAUCCCUCGAUGAGUAUCUGAUGUCUAAAGAUCAAUUUUUUAUAACUUAAGCUCAUGGAAAUUUGGGUUGUGAGAUGGAGAUAUUGAUAAGAACUAUGAUUGUUUGGGUAUUAUGAGUGUGUGUUGGUUGGUUCAGGUUCACUUCUAAUUGUAGCGAGUAUUUAUUUAGGAUUUUAUCAUGGUUAUGUGAGAAAAGAUUAUUCCUAAUGUUUGUGUCAAAAUCCUUGGUAACAUGUUGUAGACAUGUGUAUGAUCAACUUUGGUGGUUAUUGGAAAUAGCUUUGUUGUUAGUUAAGUGUAAUACAACAAUAAGUAUCACUCGAGUAUGGUGAUGACUUCAUUGAGGCAUUGUAUGGGAGGAUGUGUAGGUUUUCAAUUGGUUGGUUUGGGGACGGAGAUUAUAUCAUAAAGUGAGACUCAGUUUUGUUAAACAAGACCUUCUGUAUGAGGAAGAACUGGUUGAAAUUAUUGAUCGCGAUGUCUGGAAGCUAAGGACAUGCGAGACAAGUAUCCCUAGUUGUUCAGCGAUUCAGGUACUACUCUACCCUUACUUUAACCAGUCUUUCCUAGUUGAUCACUCAGGGACGAGUGAUGGGUAAAUUGUUAUCUAUUGUAACCACCUGAUUUCGUCGUUAGGGAAAAGCCAAUGGGGAAAGAACCUAGCCUAGUGAAGAUUUGGAUGAAAUUUGAGUCAGUGAGGUCCAAGGGAAUCUAGUAACGAAUGAGAGAUCUAAUUAUGAAUUUGAUCACAUGAGUAGAUAGCUCAGACGUUAAGGAACCCGUACGACUUUACAGAAUCAAAUUCAGGUGAGUAGAACUCCCAAAACUGAUCCUAGCGUGAACGGGUAUUUUCUGAGUGUCAUGGAUUGAAGGUGUGUUGUGAAAUGGGGGUUUUAAACUCUGAAUUUAACUCUCUGUUUCUGUGCAAGCCACCAGAGCAGGGCGGUUAUAGCGGGAUGAGGUCUGCCACAGCGGGACAAACGCGACUGAAGUUGGAAAUAAACCCCAAAACGUCAUUAUUCUACCAAAUUGGUUCUUGAGAGCUAGGAGACGACCGCAGGCGAUUUCUUGACAUUUUUCCACGACUUUUGGUGCUAAAGGUAAGAAUUUUACUCCCCUAAUCCAUAUUUCGAUCCGUAGAACGUAGUUUCUUGGGUAAUUAUUGUUGGGGGAAAGUUUUGAUCUGGGAAUUAUGGUGGAAAAACCCCUAAUUUGGAUAUUGUAAGCAUGGGUUGGUCUUGGGUUAUUGGAUUUGUUAUAAUCCGGGUAAAUUAGACCAUAAUUGUUGAUCCUCACGUUUGUGAACGAAUGAUUGUAUGCCAUGAAUCAACACUUGGUUGUAUGAUUAUAAGAAUGUACAUUGUGAUUGUGAUUGUGGCUUGUUGAAUGGAUCAGGUGUCACGUUCCGACACACUAACUGGGAUCGGAUGUCACGUACCGACAUAUAUAUUGGAUUGGAUGUCACGUUCUAACACACUAACUUGGAUCGGGUGCCACAUUCCGGCGCACAUAUGGGAUCAGGUGUCAUGUCCGGCACACUAAUUGGGAUUGGGUACCACGUUCCAGUAUACUAACAGUUUGGGUAUGGGUUCCAUGAGAGGACUAUUGAAUUGGGUUCCACGAGAGGACCAUUGACUUGUCAUAUAUACUUGUUAUUAAGAAUGUGGAAUUUUACAUUGCUCCGGAAAUGAUAACUGAUAUAUAUAUUAUGUACUAGAUUCACCGCACGUGCGUUGCACGUGGUUGCCUCGUCUUGAGAUUGACAUGAAUAUGUAAAUGUAUUAGACUAUAUUAGUCACAAUAUAUUGUUUUUUUUGUAGAUGACUUUUCCUAUAGUUGUAACCGUUAUUUAUGGGUCUCCAAUUAUAGAUUCCUAAAUAAUACUGCCUUAUGCUCGAGUGAUUUACUUAUUCAUGGUGUUUUUUGGCACUGCCUUUGUUAUAAAAGUAACUUACUGAAUAGUUGAUAACCAUAAAUUCCAUACAAAUGGUGAAGUGGUGAUACCACCGAUAAAAGUUACAGUAGUGCUGCCCUCACUAUUUGUUACAUAAUUCAUCGGGGUAUUAUUUAUACAACACGCAACAAUAUGAACACAAAAUUUGGUAUUUGUUUCUUUAGUAGUUGUCUUUGUUUGACGCGAUCAUAAAGGGUGUGGAUUCCACUUGUAUUGAGUUGUAUCAAACUAAAUAGCUGACUAAAUUUUCAACUAAAAGUGAGACCAGCUCAUUAGGUACAUAACUCCCCAUAUAUUGACUGAUCAAAAUUGCUUUACCAUCUAAACUCAUAGACAAUUUUCAAGAUUACAAUGCUUCAUUAACAAACACACUUUUCAUUAAUGGUCUCUGGUGAGGAUUUUCAGAUGAGUAGACGCUUCAAUCAUUGAUUAUGCACAAAGAGACCAGUUAGAAGGGACUCUGCUUGACAACAAUUGUGGCAUAUUAUGAACAUUGACAUCGAGAGGGAGCAUAUGAUACUCAAUAUCUAGCUAUCUGAAUAUAUUAACCAUUUCCUCAACUAAAAGGGCUCUCCUUGCCCAUCUCUCUCUCAUGUCUUUAAAAUUCAUUCUGUGUGUAAUCCAUACUGACCAUCUUAUCCUGUUUAAGUCUUCAAUAUCCCUCCUCGCAACUGAGGUAUCUGGAUACCAAUGAUCACUUUUGUUUUGAUCUGAAUAUACCUAACAGAACAGAAGCCAUACCAUAAAUUAUUAUAACGGAAAGAAUAUUACUCACUUCGUUUCAAUUUGUUUGUUUGGUUUUGACUUGGUAUAUGGAGUUUUAGGAAGUUAAGAAUACUUUUGAAUCUUAUGGUCUUAAGCAUUGUGAUGUGGAAAGUUGAUGUUAAAAGGUUGCAAAAAGGAAAGAGAUGUUUUUUUUAAACGAACUCAAAAGGAAAGUAAGACAAAGAAAUUGAAACAGAGGAGUAACUGGUUUCUUGCUUGUGCUGAGAAGCAUGUCAAAAGGGGGCGUUUUGUUCCGUCUAUUUUACCAACAAUAAUAAUUCCAAAAAAAUAAUAAAGAUAGGUGAUAUGUGUGUAGAGAGACUACUAAGAUGAGUGUAUUCUUAUUAUGAGCAUCAUAAAAGAGCAAGUCAACCACUAUAACGCAAGAGAUCUGUAAAGGAAACAACUAAACUUUAUCAAUGGAAGAUGAAUAGUUGUAUAUAACUUGUUAUUUUCUCUUUCAUCAAUGCUAUUUUUUCCAUAGGAGUUGAGAUAUGCAUGCAGAAUUCGAUUGCAUCUCAGGACCACGAUAGUAGUUACUUAUGGGCUUUGUCGAUAAGACAUUGUUGGGAUAUAUGAUCUUCAGGUUAUCGUACUUCAGGAGUACCGUUGUCAAUGUAUUCAUCUAUUCUACAAUCAGCUGAAACCCAAUAAUCAGAAAAGGUCCUUUAAUAUACAAAUAAGAAUGAUAUCUAAAGAUCUAUAUUAGAGUGGAUUAAUUCUUACACGAACUCCGUCAAUUUCAACAUGGUCGCCUACAUCAAAUGGGUGCAUCACAAAUAAGAAUAUUAUUGCCUUGAAUGUUGUCUUGGCAGUGUUUCCAAACAUGAAUACGACCAGAAGAGCCUAAGAGCUCAUAAAGACCAGGAAAUGUGUAGUGGCAACAUUGAGUAUAAAAAGACAGAUGACCAGUAUGAUAACCCCUACGAAGAUGUUCAACAAGUGAUGCAGUUUGUUCACAACAAUCUUUGUGUCUCAGCCGCCAUGUGGCCUGAAUCUCGAUGAGUGCAGGUACCUGGGAGAUGAGUGCAACAAUGUUAACUUCAGGGGUAAAAAUGUAUUAGUACCAUUGAUGAGGGUAGCGUAGGGUAAUAGUCUGCAAUAAUUGGCAGUAAUUUGAUGNNNNNNNNNNNNNNNNNNNNNNNNNNNNNNNNNNNNNNNNNNNNNNNNNNNNNNNNNNNNNNNNNNNNNNNNNNNNNNNNNNNNNNNNNNNNNNNNNNNNNNNNNNNNNNNNNNNNNNNNNNNNNNNNNNNNNNNNNNNNNNNNNNNNNNNNNNNNNNNNNNNNNNNNNNNNNNNNNNNNNNNNNNNNNNNNNNNNNNNNNNNNNNNNNNNNNNNNNNNNNNNNNNNNNNNNNNNNNNNNNNNNNNNNNNNNNNNNNNNNNNNNNNNNNNNNNNNNNNNNNNNNNNNNNNNNNNNNNNNNNNNNNNNNNNNNNNNNNNNNNNNNNNNNNNNNNNNNNNNNNNNNNNNNNNNNNNNNNNNNNNNNNNNNNNNNNNNNNNNNNNNNNNNNNNNNNNNNNNNNNNNNNNNNNNNNNNNNNNNNNNNNNNNNNNNNNNNNNNNNNNNNNNNNNNNNNNNNNNNNNNNNNNNNNNNNNNNNNNNNNNNNNNNNNNNNNNNNNNNNNNNNNNNNNNNNNNNNNNNNNNNNNNNNNNNNNNNNNNNNNNNNNNNNNNNNNNNNNNNNNNNNNNNNNNNNNNNNNNNNNNNNNNNNNNNNNNNNNNNNNNNNNNNNNNNNNNNNNNNNNNNNNNNNNNNNNNNNNNNNNNNNNNNNNNNNNNNNNNNNNNNNNNNNNNNNNNNNNNNNNNNNNNNNNNNNNNNNNNNNNNNNNNNNNNNNNNNNNNNNNNNNNNNNNNNNNNNNNNNNNNNNNNNNNNNNNNNNNNNNNNNNNNNNNNNNNNNNNNNNNNNNNNNNNNNNNNNNNNNNNNNNNNNNNNNNNNNNNNNNNNNNNNNNNNNNNNNNNNNNNNNNNNNNNNNNNNNNNNNNNNNNNNAUUGAUAAAUAAAGUCAUUCUUUUGUCUUGAGCAUCAAAAACAAAUUGUGACAGUUCUCUAAAUUUUGGGAAAGAUAUUCAGAAGCAUAUAUCUACAUCACAAGAGAAAUUGUUAAUAAAAACAAAUGAAUUUAGACUACAAAUAAAUUUAGACUUACUUCUUAGAAUAGUGGUACCUCAUAUUCCGCUAAACUUCGAACUCCCUCAACUACCAUAAAUCACACAAAAAGUUUUGAAAUGCAAGAAUAAGAAAAGUAGAAGAUUAGAAAAAAUUGUGUUUGAAAAAUGAGAGGAUGCCCCUCUAUUUAUAGUCAACAAAGGGUAGUAUGAACAAAUUGUUUUUUGUGUCUUAUUUGAAAAGUCAUUAACUUUUCGAGAAGUCACAAUCCUUUGGAAAAGUCACAACUUAUUGAAAAAGUCACAACUCUUUAGGAAAAGUCACAACUUAUUGAAAAAGUCACAACUUAUCAAAAAAUUACAACCCUUCGAAAACGUCACAACUUAUUGUAAAAGUCACAACUAAUCGAAAAAAUCACAACAAGCCUUCAAAAAAAGUCACAACUUAUCAAAAAAGUCACAACUCAUCAAAAAAGUCACAACCUAAGUUAGGGAUAUUAUAGUAAUUUAACAUUCAAAUUAGGGGUUUAUGCUUUUAAGGUAAUAUAGAUAUGUGUGUUUUACCUUGUUGUGAUUGCUUAUAUAUAUUUCGCUUACUAAAAUAGCCGCGUGAUCCUACCAGUACACUGUGGUUGUGUAUUGAUAUUGCACUUGCUUGUUCUUUGUUGAGUAUAGAGCAUCUUCAGGCGGCUAUUGAUAAACCCCAACUAGGUGACUAUUGAGCGUGAACGGAUUCAAGGGUGAGCCAGUUCUUUCAGGUUGCCAUGGAUCUUUCUUGUUUAAGUCCACUCUUUUCGAACUCAGACUAUUUGUUUAAGGUGUUUGUUUAAUUUCGGGGUUGUACCAUUUUUCUUAGACUUUUUAGUUAAUCAGAGUUUUGGUACAAUGACUUUCAAGUUCUAGGGGUGGUUUUUCCGCAAUAGUUGUUAGUCGUUUAUUAAACUUCCGGAGUUUAUGGGAACUCCGUAUUUCUUAGGUCAUUUAAGCCUGUUUCCGUAUCUUUAAAUGCGUAGUAUCUUGGUUAAGGCUGCUUAGUUGGAUUGUAGUAAUGAUUCUCCCACCGAAGGGUUAGUGUGGGUGCCAAUCACAAUGGUUUGGGUCGUGACAUAUUUAAUUGGCCUUCAUCCUUGUCUUCAUAGAGAACUUAUAGCAUUUAAUCCUCGAGAUCCUCUCGCUGGUUAAAUUAUGAAAAUCCUUAUUAUAGUUGUAGGUUGGAAGAAUUGUGAAAAGGGUAAACCCUUUUUAAUCAUAUUGAAGUUGACAUGAUGAUAUAGAUUUGCUCAAGCAUGUCCUCGUAUCAAGAUGGAAGAGAUACCAAACUCUUCUUGACCAAUCAAAUUGAAACUCUCAUGACAAUAUUUGAUUAGCUAGAACGUGUCAUUUCUGCUAGCAUGAAACCUAUAUGAUUGGGUGAACUUUUGUUUACCAUAUUUUGGUUGCUAUAAUGAUAUUUGAUUAAAUGAAACAUGUCACUUGUGCUGGGAUGGAACAAUUGUGAUGAGAACAAUUUUUUUCGAUCGAUUAGACUAAAGUUGACAUGAUGAUAUUUGAUUGGUUUGAACAGGCUAAUUCUUUUGAGUGGGAAGAAUUGUGAUUAGGGUGAUCUUUUUCAACCAAUCAAAUUUUAGUUUACGUUUUUUAAUGUUUGAAAGAAGUCAAUUGUACACGAGGCAUGUUUUUAUAUGUGUUUGAUUUGACUACACAUGUUGUAUCACUUUCAACACGUGGCAUGAUCUUAUUGACCAUUUCACUUGGCUAACACAUUUUUCGACACAUCAUACCAAAUCGCGCAUAUUGUAUUAAUAUAUUUUAAAUUUGAUAUAAUCCAAAUUAAUUCUAAACCCUAAAAAGUAAAAUAAAUACAAGAACCUGAAAAAGCAGUAUAUAUACAACAUAUAUGCAUAUACUGGAAAUAAAUAUAGGGUUUCACUGACGGCAGAGUGAAAUGCCCUGUCAUAUCCAAAGAAAUAUAGUGAAUUCCAAUCAAGUUGAAAUGGAAUCAACUGAUUUGCAGAUUGUGAAUUCCGAUCAAAUUGAAAUGGCUAUCACUGAAAAUAACAACGGUUACGAGAGCGGAGAUGAUGAUAUCGAGUUGCAAAAGUUUCUCUUUUACUCAGCUCGAUUUCAUUCCGGUAAGAACUUGGAAUCAAGCUCUAAUAACGGUGUUGGUAAGAAACCUAUAGAAAUUGAGUAUUAUGUUAUUCUAGAUUCACUUAACCUAAAAUACUAUUACUGAAAAGGGGGAAUCUUCAUGUACUUUCUAUGAAAUCUGUACAAAUGUGUUUCCGCUGCCAAACACAAUGAUGUGGGGCACCAGUUGCAAUCAUCGUUACUGUGAAGAAUGCAUACAGAAUUAUAUAGGUAAAAAACUCAAUAAGGAUAUCCAUGAGGUUGCUAUAAAGUGUCCUGCUUCUGAUUGCGGGGAAAUUUUGGAUAUCGAUUCAAUAAUGCCGGUUGAUUUUCUUAUCCGAGUAAGAGAUGUCAAUCGACUAACAGAAGUUCUACCUUCGCCACUAAUUAUUGAUUGCCCUUUUAUGGAUUGUAUCGGUAAACUGAUUGAUGAUCAACGGGGAUAUCCAAUUAGGGCAUGUCCUGAAUGUUGGAAACUUUUCUGUGUCAAUUGUAAAUCUUUGCAUUUUGGAAUGACAUGUGAGAAUUAUCAGUUUAGUAGGCAAUUGAAUUUUUUCCACUGGCAGCAGCAAUAUGGAGGAUAUCGUGAUGAACUAGAUGAGGAGGAGGAGGAGGAAGGAGGAGGAGGAGGAGGAGGAGGAGGAGNNNNNNNNNNNNNNNNNNNNNNAGAAGAAACUUCAUGAUCAAAAACUUCGAUGAAUAUGAAAAAAGGUCAAGUUUUGCUUCAAGGAGAGGGAGAGGGAGAGGGAGAGGGAGAGGGAGAAGGAGAAGGAGAAUGAGGAGAAGAAGAAGAAACUUCAUGACCAAAAACUUCGAUGAAUAUGAAAAAAGGUCAAGUUUUCUUUCCUGAAGAAGAAGAAGAAGAAGGAGAAGGAGAAGAAACUUCAUGAUCAAAAACUUUGAUGAAUGUGAAAAAAGGUCAAGUUUUGUUUCCUUGGAGAUAAAAUAGCCUUUUGAAUCCUUAUUUACUUAAUAUGCAGAGUCUAUUAUUGGUUGAAAAAUAGUAUGCAGGAUCUUUUAUUUUAUCGUGAUGAACUAGAGGAGAAGGAGAAGGAGAAGGAGAAGGAGAAGAAACUUCAUGAUCAAAAACUUCGAUGAAUAUGAAAAAAGGUCAAGUUUUGUUUCCUUGGAGAUAAAAUAGCCAUUUGAAUCCUUAUUUACUUAAUAUGCAGAGUCUAUUAUUGGUUGUAAAACAGUAUGUAGGAUCUUUACUUCAUGAUCAAAAACUUCGAUGAAUAUGAAAAAAGGUCAAGUUUUGUUUCCUUGGAGAUAAAAUAGCCAUUUGAAUCCUUAUUUACUUAAUAUGCAGAGUUUGAAUCCUUAUUUACUUAAUAUGCAGAGUUUAUUAUUGGUUGUAAAACAGUAUGCAGGAUCUUUUAGAUCUUUACUUCAUGAUCAAAAACAUCGAUGAAUAUGAAAAAAGGUCAAGUUUUGUUUCCUUGGAGAUAAAAUAGCCAUUUGAAUCCUUAUUUACUUAAUAUGCAGAGUCUAUUAUUGGUUGUAAAACAGUAUGCAGGAUCUUUUAUUUUAUUGUGGAGAAGGAGAAGGAGAAGGAGAAACUUCAUGAUCAAAAACUUCGAUGAAUAUGAAAAAGGUCAAGUUUUGUUUCCUUGGAGAUAAAAUAGCCAUUUGAAUCCUUAUUUACCUAAUAUGCAGAGUCUAUUAUUGGUUGUAAAACAGUAUGCAGGAUCUUUUAUUUUAUCGUGAUAGGAGGAGGAGGAGGAGGAAGAAGAAGAAGCAGAAGGAAGAGGAGGAGGAUGAGGAGGAGGAGGAGGAGAAGAAGAAGAAACUUCAUGAUCAAAAACUUCGAUGAAUAUGAAAAAAGGUCAAGUUUUGUUUCCUUGGAGAUAAAAUAGCCAUUUGAAUCCUUAUUUACUUAAUAUGCAGAGUCUAUUAUUGGUUGAAAAACAGUAUGCAGGAUCUUUUAUUUUAUUUCAAUUAGUUGUUGAGUUGGUGAAAAAAAAAUAUGUUGGGUCUUUAUGUUUGAAUUAGUUGUUGAGUCUGUGUUGGAUGGGCUUCUACUUGUUGAGGCCUAUUGUCCAAUGUAAGUGUAGCUCAAAAUGUGCAAAAUCUUCUAUUUUGCGGAGAAAUUGUUCUAUUUUAUAUAGAGUCCAGGUUUGUAUGACCAACUAUCAGGCCCAUAUUUCUUUUAUUUUGAAUCACUUAGUUCAAAUUAUUUUUUACUACAUCAUUUAUAAGAAUAUAGUAUUCAAGAAUAAAAAAUGAUUUAAUUUGCUAGCGAAAAUUAGGAAGGAGGUUGUACGUAUUACCCCUAACAUAGGCUAAAAAAUUUCACAUCGGCAGAAAAUAAGAUGAAUGCUAAGUAUAUAAGUAAGUAGAUCUUAUACUUUAAUAAUGUGUUUUAAAGUUGUGUGAGUCUAGUCCCAAAUAGAACAAUAUCACUAGUGGAUUAGACUAUUACAUAUGGUAUUAGAGUCACUUCUGUGUCAGUUGAUGCGAGCUAAAGUUCAAUUGAGUUUCCAAAAAUUCCUAUAAGGUGGAGCAAACAUCUUUGCUAUGUCUAGGCAAAUCUCAUCUGAUGGGGAAAUUCUUAGGCAAAUUUUAUAUGGUUGGACAAACCUCAGCGAGUACGCUGAAUUCAUAAGAGAGGGUGUUUGUGUGGAAAAGAAGUCCACACCGGAAAAACACAUGAUAAGUAAGUAGAGUUUACACUUUAGUGACGCAUUUUAAAGUCGUGUGGGUUUAGGCUCAAAGCAGACAAUAUCAUUAGCAGUUUAGGUCAUUGUUUGGUGGGAAAAAGGCAAUGUAGAAUUAUAUAGAUAUCUUUUAUAUGAUGGGGUUUAUAAGUAAGCAGGCAUGACUCUCUAGUGACGUAUCCUAAAGCCUUGCAAGUCUAGACCUAGAUCAGACAAUAUCACUAGCCAGUUUUAUGGUGGAAAAAAGGCGGUCCAGAUAAUAAUUUAAGGGAUAGAAAAAUUAUAUUGGGGGAUUUAAUGGAAUCAAUUUGGGGGCAUGAUUCAGUUGUUUGCUCUUCUAGUUUUCAUUUCAAUUUCUCCUCUGUUAGUGAAAAUUAAAAUUGAAAGGAAAAAAUACAUUAUGACAGGUGAAGUUGGCAGGUGCUUAUUUGCUAAUUAAUUUGCUUUUCUAUUCCACACUUUGUCUUUUGAUUUUAUUUUCGUGAUUAAUAACUGAACAAUCGAACCAAAACCAAUAACCGACCCAUGAACACUCUUAUCUACAACUAUGCAUGAGCUCUUUUUGUACAGUUUAGUUGUUCUAUUAUAUUUCUUACCUCAGUUUGUAUUUGUGUUAUCAAUACUUUUAUCUGUUCAUAAAUCUCCUUGAAUAUAUUCCAAUUCAUGUGUGGUAUAUAUGUGGUUCUUAGAUUGUUUUUUGACAACUCCUUUCUAAACACUUUUAGCGUGUCUGCUUGCAAGUCAGUGUAGUGUCUGUGAAAUUCCCAUUUGAAUUUUCUGGUGACUAAUUAUGUGCCAUUUAAAGUCAGAGUAACUUAACUCUUCAAUUGGUAUACCAUUUCAUCAUCUUUAUCUUUGUAGAAUUUAAUUUUAUUCAAUACCAACUACAAUUAUUUUGGAGUCUAAUGGUCCCAAAUAUAUGUGUUUUCCUUCAUAUAUACUCAAUUUAUCAAUUUCAUGGAAAACACACAUUUUUUUCUCAACCAAUUGUCACACACUAAGUUCCCCACAAUUGCGACAUUUCACUUUCUACCAUAUUUAACUUUUAAAUCACCAAAUUCUUUAGCAAUUAGAUUUUCUCCCAAGAUACCAAAACCACUUUCCUAUGUUGGUCAGUGUUGCCCCAUAAGCUAGAAGGUAAAGGGAUUAUUUAUGGGGCAAUUCUGUUGCAUCACCAAAUGUGUUGAGUUUCACUUUGGUGAGGAUUAUGCAAGAGUCUAUAGUUGUCUAUUUUUUUUUGGUCAUGAUCAGAGUACACUUAAUCCAAUUCUUGUCUCACUCGAUGUUAGACUCCUAUAUUAGUUUAUACACAUUUUAAUUGUCAGAUCUACACAUACUUAGACGUUAAAUCUACACCAGUAGGUGACAUGACAACUUAUCUCAUUGUGUAUAUGAUUUCGAAAUCUUUGACUUCUAAGCUAGUUUUUGAGGUUAAAUUAUACGUAUGAUAUCUUUUUCUUAUCAAUGUCAUUCACCAUAUAUCCACUUUGUUAGAGCAAAAGAUGCAUAAAGAUGAAAGAAGCUUCUCCACAAAACCCAAAAGUUGAACCUCUACUUUAUUGAGCGCUUUAAUUUUGAAUGAAGAGUUAAUCAAUACUUAUUACGAAAGGCUAGAAGAUAAGAACAUUCAAAAUGGUAAAGGUAGAUCCUAUUAAAACAAAAUAAAGUUGUUCCCUUCUUUGUUUGUUUGAAACCAUUAUAUAUACCAACAAUCGGCAUAGUGAUGUUUAUGAUAAUGUUUUUUCUUAAAUAAUUGCAUUCAAAACACUAUGAGGGCCCUCACUUGACUCUUUAUUGCUUUUCAUUUUAAAGAACCAAUUUCAUUGAUGUCAUGUUCCACAAUUUAAGAUAUCAUGUUUCGAACUACUCUUCUUUUGAUCACCUUUUAUAUUUGAAGCCUACUCCAGUUGGAUCUUACUAUAUUUAAAGGAGAUGAGAACUUUAACUUAAUUGAUAAAGUUAUCUCUAUGUUAUCAAAAAGCCUCUUGUGAUUCAACCUUUUCACACACCCUAUAUACAGUAUAAGCUUAAUGCACCAGAUUGUCCUUUUUACUCUCCGGUGAAAUCAAAAAAUUCAAAAUUACAAUCCUAACAAUAUUCUUCUCUUGAAGCCCUUUAAUUAUUACUACUUCAUUUUUAAUUUUAAAAAAUCCCUCUAUUAAUUUAGAAGAUUUUUUUUGCCAAUAUCAUGUUUACUACUCCAAGAAGGUACAUAAUUACUAAUUACACUUUUAAAGAAAAUAUAAAAGGUAAUUUGGUUAAGUAGUCCCUGUGAGUAAUGGUCUAAAACUGUUUUUGAAUUGAUGUGUCAAACUAUAUAGGGAAAACAGUGAAACAAGAUCUCUGUUGGUAUCUAUCUAUCUCUUUUUCUUCUUAUUUUUUUUAUUAAUAAAUGGGAAUGAGACCAUGUCUCAUUGUCAUAGUUUACACCUCACGUGCUUUCUCUCACUUUGUGUUAAAAUAAAAAAUAAAAUAUCAUUCCCUAGUCCAUAGAAUUGAUAUAAUAUUACAUGCUAGUAUACAUAUAAAUUAAAUUAUUUACCUAUUGAGUGAAAUUAAAUUAUUUACCUAAUGAAGUAAGAAUUAAUUUCCACUUAAAAUAUUUUUAUUAUUCUUUGUCCAAGUAAGUUAUACUCUUUCCGUUUCAAUUUAUUUGAUCUAUUUUCCUUUUUAAUCUAUAAAAAGUUAUCCUUUUAUUUUUUUUUAAUAAUUCUUUUACUUUCAAUUUUGCACCUGAAGAAAUACGAAGAAGAAAGUGAGGAAGUAGCUAGCAACAGUCGGCAAGGCAUUCCUCGAUACAAAUACAAUACAUAUAUUUGUUAGUUCUUAUAAUAAGAAUUAUGGUUACACAGGUUACUGUAACACAAAAUAAUCAAAGUCUUAUUUAUAAUUGUAUAUUUUUUCUAAUACAUAAUAUAUUAUUUUCUUUUGGAGUAAUCAUAUAUCGAGCUUAAUAUAAAAGAUCUAAUUACUUUUAAACUCAACAACUUAUACCAUAAAAAAUGUAUGCUACCAAGUGCUAAGAAAUAAAUCUUAAUUUAUACAUAGGAAAGUUAUUUAAUCAAAUAACAAAAAAAAAAAAAAAGCUCUUGCCAAAAGAAUAAAUCUCAAUUAUAAUAAAAAAUCUCCCAAAAUUCUAAAUUAAUCUCAAGUGACUCUUUAGGUAAAUUAGAUGAGUGUAGAAGUAAAAAGAUAUUCAAAUGGGUGGAGUGAUUGAGGUUUAAGUUUGUGUAUUUGUAGGGAUGAAAGGAUAGUGUGUUUUUACUACACAAAAUAUAACGGCUUGAGAAUAUGACAGGUGAAAAGUACAUACUUAUAAUUAUUUAUCAUAUAUGGAGACUGGAGUAUAAUAAUAUAAUAAUAUAAUUAUAAGAUAAAUAUGACUCUAAUGAUGAAGAGAAGACAUGAAUUAUAAAUUGAAAGUUGAUAAUGCAUUUUCAGUUCUCUACUAUUUGUACACAAUACUAAUAGAGUAACUACAUGAAAACCCGUUAUUAAAUAGGAAAAAGGUGUAAAAAGGAUGACUUCUAUUAUUUACUAUUUAAUUAAUUAUUAUAUUUUAUAAUAUUUUAACUUAUAAGUAUAUCGGUAAAAUGGUAAUCCAACUUUGCACUUUGGAGCUUUCCACAUGAUAUGCUAUGAUUAUAAAUGAGAAGGGUCAAAAAUGCCCUCCAUUGAUAGUUUGGUACAUAAAUACCCUUGUUGUCAGCAUAAAUAAAUAAAGUUCUAAAUCAAAAGGAAAUUAUAUACUUAUCAAUAUCGAAAGGGAAGUUAUAGUUAACAUUUUGGAGUCAUGUGACAAAAUAAUAAAAAUUCUCCAAAUAAAUAUUUUUUUCUUUUAAACACAUUCUUUUUCUAAUGAUGAUUUUUUAUAAUUAGAAAAUUUUUAUAGUUAUCUAAAUGAAAAUUAAUGACGACCUUACUGAAUAAUUACUAUGGGGCAUUUUGAUAUCAAAUUUAAUUUUAAAUUAAAGAACCAUAUUCUUGUUUCUUUUCUUUUUAAAUCACUUUAACUAACAAAAUAAGUAAGACAAAAUCUUUUUUUCAUCUUAAUCUCAUUUUAACAAUUAAAAUAGAAUAACUACAUUUACUUUUUUAAUUGAUAUUAUAUGUCAUAUAUAAGAUCAUAGUCACGGUUUCGUUAAUUUUCAUUUAGAUAACGAAAAAAUAAUUUUAAUAAAAUAGAAAAUAUUUUUUGGGAUAAUGCAUACGGAGCUCCCUUAACUUAACUAGAAUCAUAUUAUCCCAUGAAAUAAUUUAAAAUGGAAUAAAUACACCCUAAAAGAUAAUGUGGCAUAAAGAGUGUGCACACUCUCUUGAAUGCAAGUGAUGAGUGAAAAAAUUGGGCACAUGUCUUUUGUUAAUUAGUAACAUUAUAAUUAGUUAGUACACAUAAUUAUUGAUAUUAAAACUAUAUAUAUAUAUAUAAUAUUUUCAUUUUUUUCUAUGUAAAAGAUUUAUUUUAAUUUCUUCCUCACUUUCAAACUUUUAUUUGUUUUUAUUUUUUUAAUUUCUUAUCUUCUCACUUUUAAUUAUUUAAAAGACUAUGUGUAUUUAUUUUAAAUAAUUAAAAAGUGUUCUUUAAUUUUAACGCUUUAAUUUUUUUAUGUUUUAUUUGAUUUGCUUCACUAUUUUGAUAUACAUUCGAAAUUAACUUAUUUUAAAUACAAGGCAUUUGAAAUAAAAUUUAAAAUCAAAUCAAAAGGAAAGACAAAGAAAAUAAAAAGAGUAAAUAAAAUCAAAAGAAAAAUGAAAGAGAGAAAGAUGAAUGAAGGUAAAAAAAAAAAAAAAGUUUAAAUACAAGGAAAUAAUAUUUUUUUAAAUACGUAUAUUAACUUAAUUUAAAUACAAGAUAAAGAAAAUAAGAAGAUUUUUUUGUAAAAAUAAAAUAAAAAUUAUUUGAAAAAUAUAUUUUCUGAUGUGGCAGGUGCAUGUGUACAAACACAACCAACUUACUUGGUUGAAGGUGUCACGUCAGCAUAAAAGGUGCACGAAAAUAUGAAAAAAAUGAGUUCGGGAGUAAUAGGACUCUAGUUAAGUAAGGUGUGACAUUGAGAUUUCGGUCAUACUUUAGAGGGUACUAUGCAUUAUCCCAAUAUUUUUAUUUCUUAAUCUUUCCGAAUUGAAGUAUGAUAAACAUUUUCUAAUUUAAAAAUUCACUAUUAGGAAAAUAUGUAUUUACAAAAAGAAAAAAGUAAUAUUUGUUUCACAAAGGGCAUUUUUGACCCAUUAAUUAACAAUAAAAAUAUUUUUGGACCAAACUAUUAACGUCAAGGGUAUUUUUGGACCGAACUAUCGACUGAGGCUGCAUUUAUUCAUUUCACUUGAGGGCAUUUUUGAACAUUUUUCGUAUUAUAAAUAAAAGUUAGAAUGUCUAAAACUCCUUAAACUUGACAACUGACUGAAAUUCUAAGAUAGUAGAGUUCUGACCAUGUUUUAUUUUUUUAUUUCCACUUUAGAUAUAAUGACUAUUUAUUUCAAUAUUAUUUUUUUAAUUUUUUGGGCUAAGCAGGUAACAAAGAAAGAGCUCUCUCUCUCUCUCUCUCUCAUUUGGCGACAUGGAGCUUUGAGUACUGCCAUGGCUGCGCCCUCCUCUCCCCAACCUCAAGUUGUGCGAGAGACGUUUUCUAAGAUCAAUUAUGCAUCUCUCCUUCAUGCUAAUUCUUCUUCUAAGCCCGUAACCAAAACAAUUUUAAAUCCAGUUGAGUUGGUCCAUGGCGAACCUACUAUCAAAUUUACUAUGAAUGAGGUUGCUUAAUUCAUAAGGGAAGAUGGAUUACACCAGGCGAUAGUAAUUAAAUUCUCCUAUGGUCAUCCUGAUUUGAAUGAUAUUCACACCUUAAUACCCAAGCAACUUGGCGUCAAAGGCAACUAUUUGGUAGGUUGGUUUGCCCAUAGACACUUCUACUUAUGUAUGUUAUUUGCAUUUCAAGAGUGAAGAAAUCUUAUAUUGGGUGUUUCCAUGGUCACAACGGUUCAACCUUAAGGAAGAAACCUCUAUAGCUUUGAUAUAGAUUUCUUUCCCAAGCCUUCCACCUAAUAUGUUUCCAAGAAAAGCUUUAUUAUCAAUUGCUUCAGUUGUUGGAAAACCCUUAGCAAUUGAUAAAGCGACAAAGAUUAGAUCGAGACCUAAUACGAAAAGAGUGAAGGAUUUGGUUGAUCUUCUUGAUAAGCAUCCAAAAAGAAUUAAGCUAUUUUAUUUGGAUAAGAAAACUGGGAAAGUAUUGGAACAAUACCAAGAAGUCAUGUAUGAUGUUCUUCCCUAUAUUGAACGAUUUGCAAACAUGAAGGACAUGAGGUGAGUUCUUGUCGUCAUUAACCCAAAUCUGAUUUUUCAAGGUCUUGCACUCUCUUGAGGCCAACAAUGUUGAGAAACUGAAAGGGGAUGUAAGAGUUUUCUUGAAUGCAAAGACAGAUGGAAAUUAUGAUGACCCUCUAGGUCAUUUCCAUGUUCAUGCCUUCUAUUAGUCGUUUAGAGCAUUCCUAUAGCGACCCCAUGUCAUUAUUGACUUGCUGGGACUGAUAGAUUGGUCACCUAAUCGUUCGUUUGGUUUUUAUGCGAGUAUUUGUGUUUAGAGCUUUUCAACCUUGAAUGGUUAUUUUUUAAAAUCAAACUUUCAAGAAGAUGAUCUCAGAAUCCAAUUCUGACGAUUUCAUCAGCUCUGGAAGGGUCAUUAUAGGCUAGUAGCAUGGUCGACACGAUUCUCCAGGCUUUCUGUGCGAGUUUGUGCAAUUAAGCGUUUUAACUUUCAAGUUAAGUCCUAAGUUUGAAUUUAGUCAACAUUUUGAGUAAACGAGCUCAAAUGAGAAUUAUGUCAGCAUGGUUAGCUCUAGAAUAUUGAGUUUGGUCUAGAACGACCCUUCGUUCGAAUCCCGAGUCUUCCAGCUAAUUCUGAGCCCCUUUGUAGAUUUGACUUAAAAUGGAGUUUGGAGGUGGGACUCACUUUUGUAGCGAGAUAACCUUGUAUGGGAAUUUUGACUACUCCAUUGAGUCAGGAGUAUCAAAUUUGAUUGGGUUGCAUAUAUUUUUUGCAUGCACGGGGUUCGAACGAAUUCAGAUCACUCCGUCAAAGAUUUGUGAACUUGCCAAACCAACUGAUGUGCAAAGCUGGUGCAAACCAAAAUGGCCUUCCUAGGCCCAGGGCCACGUUCUGGGAGGCCAGGUAGGCUGGUGGCCACAUUUGCAAGGCCCUCACCACGUUCAAGAGGCUCACAUUUGCUGGAUUUCCCUACCGCGAUCGCGGGGUUCGACUCCCUCUUGGCUGCGAUCACGGGGCCCUUAACGAGCUCACGAGGCCCGUGUUCUCUAGGACCCUCCACAUUUGCAAAGAGGAGACCAGACUGGUGUUUAUACCAGUCACGAUUUAACUUUAGCCUCAAGAUUCAAUUGGUGAUUUCUUGGUCGAUAUAGCUCGAAAUUGGGUAAUUUGAUGUCCCACGCAUCCGAAAUUAUCGAGGCUACCAUGUGGGGUGAUUGGAAAGUGUUUGGAUUCCUUUGUUAGAGGUGAUCUGUCAUUUAAAGUUGUUGUCCUAGCUCCUUUUGAGCUUUAAUUUAUGGAAUUAUGCAUGUUGUUUGUUGUGGCUGUUUUGAGUGCGAGAUUGUAUUCCUUUUUGGAACACAAGUUCAGAGCUGUAACAUCCGGCAAUUUGAAAUAGCUAUGAAGAAGCUUAGAAUUGGAAAUAGUCAUUUUUUGGAAAGAAUUCAAAAAUCUGGAAAUUUAGUCAAGUAUGGAAACAAAAUGAGUUUUUGGUCAACUUCAAACGGUCAUAACUCCUAGCUCAGGAUGAGUUAGGUGUAUUUCCAGUUAUGUUUGGAAAUCUGUUGCAAUCAUCUUUCCAAUGCCGCCGAGUUUGCACGAUUCCGAGUUCGUAUGAGUGAGUUAUGCCCUUUGAAAGUUGGGUUGUUGGGACAGGGCAGUUUAGUCCGAAUUUGUAAGGGUAUUUUGGUCUUUUCCCUAACCAUUUCUUUUGGUUAUAUUAAGGGUUUAGACUGAUUUUAAAUCAGUUUUCCUUUUAAAAGUGAGGGUUAGGGCUUUGAGAGAGAAGAGGAGAAGGAGAAGAAAAAGCAAGGUUCGUAGAGAUCGUCGUGGAUUUCGUCGGGGGUGAUCCCUUAUAAGGUAUGUGAGAUCAUAGUGUUGGGUUGGUUCAUUCCCCCACACGCCAAACUCAUUUAAUUCUGAGAAAAUAUUGGUUGUGUUUGUUGAAGUUGUGGUUGUGUUGUGGAAGUUUCUUGUUGGUUUGGUGCAUGUUUCCGGUUGUGAUUUCGAGUUGAAUCUAUUGUAUGUUAAGGGGUUUUAUUAUUCUAAGUGUUUGGGGCUGAAAUCUUUGAAGUUAAGGUAGUUUAGAGUUGGAAAAAUGAAGGAGAAAAGUCCGAUUUUUCUGGGAAAACACCCCAGCCAGCGCGCCCCAAAAGGGAUUCUGAGCUUUCCCCCUUGGGGUGGCGUGCCUUGCAGAGCACCCAGCAGGCCCCUCUGAAGUCUGAAGUCUGGCGCCCCGCGCCUCUCAGAGCGCCAACGACGCCAAUCUUCCUCAUUCCUUCCCCACUUUUUCAUGCAUGUUCCUUGGUAAUGUACCUAUGUUUCAUAGUUGUUUCCAACACUCCAAGGUACGUCUAAACGUCGAGAACUCAUCCAUAAACAUGAGAGCAUUACCCUUGAAUCCAUAAUCCAAUUCGAGGAAAGUUAGGAUCAAAGUCAAGUGAAGUUAGAGUCAAGCUUAAGAAGUUAAGAAGUAAGUCUAAAAGCAAGUCUUUAAAAGAUUUUCAAGAGUCUUUGUUAAACGUUUUAAACUUCGGUUUUAAGGCUGAAGUUUCAAGUUAAGUAAAGAGUAUAGAGUUUCAAGUUAAGUAAAGAGUAUAGAGUCAAGUUCAUUUCUCAAAAGUUAUUAGGGAACUAAGUAUUCCAAAAGAAGUUUAUAAAUGUUUUCACAUUUAAGAUGAGAGGAAACUGAGAUUUCCAAAAGAGUUUUGAGCAGUUUGAGUACUAUCUCUUUUAAGAAAAAGAAGAGUUUUGCGAAAGAGUUUCUAAAACAUGAUUAGUAUGACAACCGAGUAUGUCAUCAAUGCUUAAACAACAUGGUCUCUAGAUAUACCAUCAAUGUUUAAGCAGUAUGAAUAUCCCGAGUCAUCAAUGAUCAUAUUAAAAAAAAUAUGGUUUUGAUUUGUUCUUUUUAGAAAGAGUUUUCAAGAAAAAGGAACUAUGUUUCCAAAAGAGCCUUUGGGCUAGAUUUUGACUAAUUAUCUCAAUUAAAGAAAGAUGUGUUUAAAACACUUAUGAGCUAAAGUAUUUUGGGAGUAGUAUCGAGCACCGAAUUGGGGACGCGAGUUCAUAUUAACUCAACUCUCCAUAAGAACCAUGUAGCCAAACAUAGGAUUUCUCGGGUCAUACUUUUUAGAUGAUCACGUAAAGUUAAGCUAGUGGAUCCACUUAGUAAAGUUAGCUUCCUAUAUCACGGCAAGAUAUAGGAUGAUCCUCGAGCAACGUGAGGUAAAACGUUGUAUCACCACUUAGUUUCAUAGUGGUGGUUUGUCGGUUAGAAAAGCUCCCACAGUAGAAAGAGCAUGGUUCCUCGAGGGUUCUGCUUAGUAUGGAUGGGGGUAUGGGACUUCAUUCAUGCAUUGCACAAGUAGACUUUGAGAGGGAACGUGCUAUAUUUUUAUGAUAUUAUGACUAUGAUUUUGAUGUCAUGUUUUAAAUAGUUUUACAAGCUUUAUAUAUUGCAUGUGUCUUAUUGCUUUAUAUUGAGUUCAGUUACUCAUGAGUUGAAUAGAGCCAAGGUAAGUUCUAUUUUGUAUCCCUUUCAAGCUUAAGUUGUUGUUUAGCUGUCCAGUUCGCAUACUCGUACAUUCCAUGUACUGAUGCCAGUUGACCUGCAUCUUAUUAUAUACAGACGCAGGUACCCAGGAUCAGCAUCAAGCACGCCGUUGAUCCAGCUGAGCACUCCAGAGUCAGUGGUGAGCCUCCUUGUUUUCCAGAGGACUCUAUUAUUUUGUGUUCUUAGUUUUGUUUUGUUCGGAUGUUGCGAGGUCUGUCCCAACAUCCAUCUCAGUAUUUUAGAGGCUUCGUAGAUAGUCAGUCAGUUAGUAUUGAGUCUCUCAUCUAUGUAUAUAUAUAUAAAUAUUCUAUUUUGGGACUCGAGUUGCCUUUUUGGUCAGAUUUUAUCAGUUAGGUUGCUUUAUGACCUUUCAUUGCAUUAAGUCAUCCUAUUGAGUUAGGUUUCCACUGAGUUAAGAAAGCCAAGCCAAGGGUUCGUUUGGGGGCCAGCAAUGGUCUUCGAGUGCCGGCCACGUCCAGGGUGUAGGCUCGGGGCAUGACAAGAGCAUUGAUUAGGACCAUUCUAAGGAGUCAAUUCUAGAAAUUCUAUCGCGGGGUCUCACAAUUCCCAUUUGCAUUCAAAAUCGGUCCAUUUCUACUUUAUGUGUUUUUGGUGUCUAAACGAACGUAUUGACGUUAUGAUCCUAUUUUUGAUAGUGUGGCAGCGUUCAAAGGUCAUUCAGAAAGGAAAAACUCUAGCCUUGUGAUUUGGAGGGCGUGCGGUCAGUCUGUAGGCUACGAGUUCCUUCCUUUUUAGAUUGAGCUUGAAUGCGUAAAUGCAUGUUGAUUCGACAGAAUUGAGGGAAGGUACCUAGUUAUUCUUAUUUCUCUUCCUAGGUACAAAGUUUUAGGAUUGAUUGUUAUUGUUUCAGGUUUAGUACUAUACUUGUUGGGGUUUAUGUGUGUUGUUGCAUGUUGUUGUGUUUUAAUUGCGUUGUUUUAUUGGUAAUGAGCAUGUUUGGCCUUAGACAAGGAUUAGACUAGUGUUGCCUUAGACUUGUGAUCCUUGUAGCCUUGUUUCAUCUCCAACAUAAUUUUGGAUGGGCUAGAUCCUUGUGGACUGGAGUAGCAGACUUGAGUCUGAUAGUUUAAGCAUUGCUUUAGGCAAUUUCACAGCUUUAUAGAUCUUAUAUCCUCUCCCUCUAUUUCUACGGCCCAAAUGUGUUAUUGGUACUGAUAUUUAAGAUUCUAUAUGGAAUCAACACGCCCCCGGGUCACUCUUGCUAGCUGGGCGGUUUCUGGAAGUGUAAUGGUUGGCAGGGCGGCAUUGAUAUAUGAGACCCUCUUCAGAGUCGACAUGCCCCCGGGUCUGUAAUGCCUCAGAAUUCGAAAGAACUACAGAGAAGUUCGUCUGAGUCACCAUCAGUUUCUAGUUUUGGGUCAACUUCAGUUGACAAUAUCUUUUAGCACAUAAAGAAUUAGGCGACCUAUUAGCUAUCAAAUUGAAGGUCUUUGAGUCCUCUUUUCAACACCGCCAAGUUUGCUAAAUUUUGAGCUCGGAGUAAAAAGUUAUGCUCGUUUGAGUGAAACCUCUCUAUUUAAGAAAUUUCAUCCGUUUUAGAAAAAGGUAUUUUGGUCAUUUCCUUUUCCUACUAGGCUUAGCACGUUUUUUCUCAUCCAAUUAAGGGUCUAAUCAGAUGCUAAACCAUUCUUUGUCGUUCCUAAACACUUAGAAAAAUAAAAGAAGAGUUCAAGAGGACAAAGAGCUAGGUUUUGAGCGUUCAUCAAGAACCCGUCAAUUUUCGCCAAGAACAUUGUUCUUUCCAGGUAUGCAAGGUUUCCCAUAGUGAUGGACUUGUUAGUCCUCACACCAUGCAUCUAAUUUAUCCGCAAAAUCAUUGUAUCUAAAAGAUUGUUGCAUAGUUCUUUAUUUUGGUUCAAUUCUUUAACAAUGGAUGUUGUGAAUUCUUCUGUGUUGUGGAUCUUUGGUAAGAGUCAUGUUUCGAGGAGGUUUGUAUGAGAACUUCUAUGAAUUUGUGUUGGCUUUGAGAAUCAAAAAGAAUUUAGAAAGAAUCAUUCAAUUCUAAAUUACUUAGGACCCUGAAUUGAGAAGAAAAAAUAAUCAAUUUUCUGGGUAGGGGACUGGGGCGGCUCGCCACCCAUAGCGCUAGGACUUUGCUCUGUAGUUUAGGGGCUGACACCUCGCGCGAGCCAGUGCGCCAAGGGUCGCUUGGUCCUUUUUCUUUCUGUGCUUCUUUCCGAACGUGUUCCUUUAAAUCGUGACUAUGUUCUCCUCUACGUAUUAACUCCUAAAGGCUCCAUUAAUCCUUGAGAGAUCCUACAUGUCCUAAUAACAUAUCUUAAUUUACAUUCCAAACUAAAGUGAGUUUAAGAGAAAGUUCAAGAGCUUUCAUUGAGUUGAUUCAUUCAUAUCUAUAUUUCAGCAUGAACCCUAUCAUUUGAGUAUUCAUUGAGUUGUUGUUGAGAAUCUUUAAUCAAACAAUUAUCUUAAAUUGAUUUUCUGAGAAAUUAAAGAGGAGUUUUGAGGAAAGUUUAAAGAGACGAUUUAAGCAAGGAUGUUAAGGGAACUUUAAUGGUCCCGAAUGUAUCUUAAUAGAAAGAGAGGGAUACUCGCCUCUUUUCCAAGAAAGCCAUGGGAGUCAUAUACGUUUUAAAUGCAUAUUUUGAAAAGAGUCUUUUUAAAGAUUGAAUCAAUGGUUUGAUACGUACUAUUUGAUAGUUGAGAAUUAUAAAGAGUAUGAUUAACGUUUCUGAAAAGUAAUAGUCUCUUUCUUUGUAAAGGGUGAUUGAGUAAAAUGAAAGUUAAAGUAAAGUAAUAGUGUUUUUCUAUGUAAAGGGUGAAUUGAGCAUAAUUGAUAUAGAUUUUAUUUUUGGGAGUAGUAUCGAUCACCGAAUUGGGUAAGAGUCUUCUAUAGCUCAAAAGUCCCAUAAAACUACGUAGCCAGUGUAUGAUAGGAUAGCAUUGAUUCUUCAUGCGACUCCUCACUGCCUCUGAGAAAGCCUAUUAGAUGAAUCCAUACUUACAAUAUCAUCAUGUACCCCGGCAAAGUAUAGGAUAGCCCUUGCAACGUGGACAAAAUGUUGUAUCAUUGCUAGGCUCAUAGUGAUGGUUGUCGGUUAGAGAAAGUCCCCGCAAAGUAAAGUAUAUUAUUUUCAUAUUACUUUUAUUGCAUAUCUUAUUGUAAAGCUUAAAUGGUUUUUCACUUCAUGUUCAUGUAUUGAUUCAGUGAGUUGCGUUCAAUCAUUCAGUUAUUUGUUUAUUCAGCCAUAUUAUAUAUUCGUACAUUCAACGUAUUGACAAAAUAAACUUCUUAUGAUCCUCAACAAGAGUCCGUGGAGAUCACUUCGUCUACUCGCCAACUUUUGUGUAAGACCUUCUUGCCUUUAGAGGACUCCAGUUUUAUGAGUUGUUAGUAUUAGUAACAGUUUGAGUAGUCGUGGGUCUUAUCCCGACACUCGUCUAUAUACCGUAAAGGCUUCAUAAAUAGACAUUUUUGGAGAGUCUUUCAGUUUCAAAUGUUUUAUUUAAAACUUAUGUUUCAUACUCAGUGUAUUCAGUGAAGUUUUGAGAUUCAGUAAAAUAUUUUUAAACGUUUCUUUUCAUUUGAUGCUUAUGUAUGCUCAAGUUAGUCUUCCACUUGUAGUUAGCCAGGAUGUGGAUUCGCUUGGGACCAAUAAUGAUUUUUGAGUACCGGCCACAUCCAGGGUGUAGGCUCGGGUCGUGACAAACUUUGUAUCAGAUCCCCGAGUUCAAGAGUCCUAGGGUGUCUAUGAAGCCGUGUUAGUAGGAUCUUAUUUAUGGUUGUGAGGGACCCAUUUCUAUAAAUGAGGGACUACCGACAUUUAAGAAAAGUUUCCCUUCUUUCACACUCUAAAUCGUGCAAUAGCACUGUGUCAUAAAGAACUUAUUCAAACUCUUGUGUUUCUCAGAUUCAUUCAACUACCCCUAAUACUCAAGGUAGUUUAAAGGCAAGGCCCAAAUCCUUAUCGAUGAGUUACUCUCAGCAAAAGUCUUGAGAAAGUCAUGAGACUAUAAAGGGGCUUGAGAAAAGCAUGUGGGUGAGCUUAAUUGUUCAGAUUUGAAAGAAUGCACUCUUAUUCAUAUAAACCGUGUGUUCAAGCUAAAAGCGAGAUGUACUCCAAGACUCUCUUCUCUAAACCUUGUUUUAGUUAAGACUUUUAAGAGGAAGUGUGUUUUAGAGUUUGGGUAGUAUUUUCACCAAAAAAGAUUGUAUGAGUUACGAUGUUAUAAGAAGUAGUAAUAAAAGUGCCUAGAGUUAGAAGAAAGUGUGCAAAGGUAUAGUAAUCUAAGAAAAAAAGAUACUGAUGAGGGCCGUGGAUACAGGUCAAGCAGGCUAUGAUAAAAUGGUGGAAAGCUAAGGUGAAUAAUAGACAAAAGCUAAACUUCCAAGCAAUUCCUACCCUUAUUUUAUGGUUCUUAUGGAAGAGGAGAAACUCAGUAGUACAUGGAAGUUCUUAUACUACAGGAAAUGUGAUUUGGGAUAUCAAUGAUAUGGUAAGAAAGAUUAUCAUAAAUGAGUUUGGGUAUGAUCAAAUCCCAACGAAUUGGCCUCAAGUUGUUGCUUUGAUAGAUGGAUUCAGACCCAAAUUUAAAGCUAAAUGGGUCAGAUGGUAUCCUCCUCCUUGUGGGUGGUGGAAAUGCAACACUAAUGGAGCUUCCAGAGGUAACCCAGGACCAAGCUCUGCUGCCUUUUGUGUAAGGAACCAUGAAGGAUAUCUACUAUGUGCUAAAGGAAUUACAAUUCCCGAUUCUUAUAGUUUGGUGGCUGAGGUGAUUGCUAUAAGAAUCGGAUUGCAAUUUUGUUUGGAAAAUCAAAUUCCAAACAUAAUUGUUGAAUCUGAUUCUCUUGCUAUAGUGAAUAUUAUCAAUGGUGUGUGGAAAAUUCUUUGGAGGGUGACAGUGGAGGUUAAUUCCAUUCGAAAGAUGAUGAACUCUUGGCCAGUAAGAGUACAACACUCCUUAAGGGAGGGAAAUACUCUUGCUGACUUUUUAGCUAAUCUGGUUUUUCAUUUUGCAGGUAAUUUUGAUUUUUGAACAUUUCAAGAGCUACCAAGCACUGGCAGGAAAAUCUUUAACUUGGACAAACAGAGUACUCCUCAAAUGAGAGUAAAACAGUGUCAAUAAGGUCAAUAUGGAGAUGUCUUUGACAUCAAAUCACAACGUUGUUCUGUUUAAUGCUAGAUGAUACAUGUAAUGAACGAUAUAAUAUUGUCUGAACUAAGUUUUGUUGGUUAUACAUAUCAUGCACCUGGUGAGAGAUUUAGGUGUCACAACUGAUAUAAAACCAGGGCACAUGUAUUUUCGUAUUCUAGAAUCAUCUACAUAGAUUACAACAGUUCAAGCACAAGAGGGUAUUUUGAUAUCCAUCACAGGAGGGUUGUAAGCUUUUACCUGAACUUUCAAGUGAUGAAUGCCCAUAUCAGAAUGGUGAAGUUGUACAUUAGCAUUCAAGCAGAGGUACCUGCUACAUCAAACAACAAUAGUUAGCUAAUUUUCUAAGAUUUAAGGUUAAAGUGGUGGUAUUAAUCCCAUUUGGGGUUCAACCCACGAAAAUCUAAAUCUAUGAAUAGUUAGUUGACUUAAUUUGUGAGAUGAGAAAGGUUAUAUUUAAUCGAUUAACAAAUGAACAAGACUUAAACAGAUAAAAUCAAUCAAACUUAUGAUUGAAGAGAAAUCGAAUUUCCAAAAAAUAGAGUCGCCACUUAAUUUUUUAAAAACUUACAGUUUUCAAAAGACUUAAACAGAUAAAAUCAAUUAAAAAAAGGGUUCGAGUUCAAUGUACAUUCCGAGAAGGUGUUAGGCCCUCAAAAUGUCCGCUAACUUGCGGUUGACCGGCGAUUUGACUAAAAUGACUAAUUUAAUUUAUUUAUUUAUUUUUAUUUUUUUAGAAAAUUAAUUAAGUAAGAAAACUCUUCUUUUUUUUAAUUUGGAAAUAGAUAAACCUAAAAUAGAUUUCUUUUUGAGAAAAAUAAUUCAUGUGUUGCAAACUUGCAAUACUACUAAAUAAAAUAAAACUAAGUGAUAAAUAAAAAUAUAAAUAUUUUAAUUUAAACAUAAAGAAAAGAAGAAAUGACUUUCCUUUUGGUAAUUUAAUUAAGUAAAAACCAAUUCAAAUAUAAUGUUAGUUAAUACAAUAAAUAAAUAGACAAAAUAAAAGAAGAAAUAUUGAACUUGGGCCAUUUUGCCCAAAUUCCCAAUUCUGAUGGGCUCAAAUCCUGUCCUAAUACUAAAAUUAUCAAAGUCAUGGGUUUUGGCCCACUUAAAUUAGAAUCAACUGCUAUCCAUUGGGCUUUUAAGCCCAAUCUCUCCUGGACCUGUUGUGCCAAACAAAAUUGGGCUUUGGCCCAUUUUCACCUCCUUUUCAAAUUCUGUGUAUAUAUCGAACGUAUAUGGCUGUAUACGACGCGUAUUUUGGCACCAUUUCAUGUAUAUUGGGCUGUAUAUCGAAAGUAUAUAACCUACUUCAACUUUUACAACCCGUACUUAUGUUUUUGGCCACGUAUUUGCUGCACUCAACUUGUAUAACAGUGUAUACUGCUGUAUAUAGCAGGUAUAAUGUCCGUUUUCGAACUUUUCGGAGCCUGUUUCAGCUUCUCCUUCACCGCAAAUAUGAGAAUGACUCAAAACGACUCAAGAAUAUGCAAGAGUAGAGUCCAAAAUGAACUUGGAUGGAAUUUCACAUGCAAAACAUAAAGUAAAAUAAAGAGAUUAGCAUUAAAGGAAUGAAAUGAAGUGAUGAAAAUACUAACACCUACCAGGCUACCACGCAUUAUUAAUAAAACAACACUUGAACAGUAAUUUGAAGGGAAAUUGAUGAAGACUUAUUAUUCUUAUAUUUUGAAUAAUAAACAGUGAAGGGACCACAAGAAGCAGAGGAAACAAAACUCCUAAGUGUAACAUACAUAAAGAUACUUUGAACAAAAUUGUAAGGAAAAGCGAAAGAAUCACAUUGUGGACUAAAAAAUAUUUUUUGUUGACAAACCCAAUUCUUUUAACCUUUGUAGGAGCGAAUAAAGAAGGAAAUAAAGAGAAUGAAAUCGAAACUUAAAGCUACUGAAAUUAAUCUAAACAUAAAAAUUUCAGCAUGUAUGAGCCACUUUGAAAGAACACGGCCUAAGUCAUCUACAGCCCCUCAAAGUUGUCCGCAUAAUUCAUUUAGACACCUCAACUAAGACUUGUACCUAUUGAACACCUCUACCCCUUAAAAUUUGAACCAUUUGAACAUUUUUUUGACAAUAAGCUAAAUGUAUAAAGUGUGUGAAAUACAUUCGCGAUGACAUGGCAAUUUGACGAAUUAAAUACUGACAUCUGGUAUUUUUUAGUCCAAAAAAUUAUUUUAAAAUAUAUUAUAAAGUAAAAGAAAAGAAAAUUAUUUUUAAGUUGAAAUUAAAAAAAUCAUGUAAAUCCUAUAACUUACCUACCCUUCUAUUCCAUCGGAGUCCAAAACUCCUCUCCCUCUACGGCGCCCCACCCCCAAUGGCAAUCCACCUCAAUAAAUAUGUUAUUUUCGAACCUUCUUCAAGCAAAAGGAUGAAGAUUUAUUGCUAUUUUUGAUGAGUUGCGGAAGAGUUGGCCAUAGGUAAAAAUAAAUAAAUUUAACUACCUUCUUCGUUCCAUUUUUGAUGGAAAGAUGAAUUUCGUCGGAAAAUUAAUCAUUCUGAUGGACAUUGUCGAAAAAAUAGAGUUAUGUCGGAUUUUUUUUGAGUUCUAUAGCUGAUUAUUUUUUUCGAUUGAAAAACACCCUUACAUUCGCACAAAUAUAUAUAUCAAUUCUCACAAAAAUGUGAACAAAGCAAAAAAAUAAAUAGGAAAAUACUUUAACAAAAUUCACACAAAUCUACAUCAAUUUAACACCAAAACACUACAUUAACAACAAAGAAAAAAAUUCCAAACUUCAAGCCCUCCACAAAUUCAAUGGAGAUAAUGAUGGCGGCCACCAUGGCGGCAAUGAAGGUACCGUAUGAUGGCAAUGGAGAAACAAAAAGCGGUGAUGGAGGUAGAAGUGAAGUAUCCGGAGAAAAAACGAGGAAGAAGAUGGAUGUAUAAUGGUGGCAAUGACUGAUGUGGUGGAGGAAGUGAUCGGCAGAGGGGAGGAAGAAGAAAGAACAUUUUUUUCCAAAAAAAGGCUAACUAAAGACCUCUCACGCGCCUCUUUAGGGUGAAUCACAAACAAUGUGCCAUGUAGGCAAAAAAUGUUCAGAUGAUUCAAAUUCGAGAGGGUACAGGUGUUCAAUAGGUACAAAUCUUAGUUGAGGUAUCUAAGUGAAUUAUGCGGACAACUUUAAGGGGCCGGCGAUGACUUAAGCCAAAGAACACUAAGACAAGACUUCAUGCAUUUAAACACACAGUGACCAAGACUAUUUGCACAUAACUUAAGUGAAUAGCAGUCAAGUGUCAAGUUUUAUAGUCAUAGUCGUGUGAAAUGCAAACUAAUAAGCCUUUAAUAAGUUUAUCACAAGAUUAAAUGCACAACUGAGCAGGCAACAGAAGAAUGGCUAAGAUAACGAGGUUGACUCGAACAAAUCAACACAAACUUAUAUCGACCGAUAAGAAUGAGAAUUAACUAACUUAAACUCGAAAAAUAAGUGCCAAAAAAAAUUAGUGGAGUGAUUCUUUUGACACGCUAAAAAAAACUCAACAAAACAUGAAUACCAUUUCCACAAAUAGAGACAAAAUAACAUUCUGAUGAUUAACUAGUGAACAAGCUAACAUUUGAGGCAAGCACCACAGUCACGAGCUCAAGAGAACUAACAACAGAUAAAACGGAUUCAAACAGACAUUAAAUCACCUCGAAAACGAAAUACACACUACCAGUUUCAGAGAGAAAUAAGGCGAGAGCUAAAUAUAUCACUUAGACUACAACAUAUCAAGUAAAAGCAUCUCGAAAGCCCACAUAAAAAACAUAAUUCAAAUCCAAGCGUCUACUGGAAACUGAAUGAAUAAAAGAGCUGAGAGUUAUUUACCUCUUGAUGAGCAGCGACUGAGACAACAACGAACCAAGCAGAGACUUCCACACUUCCGACGAGAGCUUUCGACAAAAGAACACUGGAAAUUUAAAACAAAAGUUCGAUAUCAAAAAUCUUUAACCCCGUAAAAAUAGAAAUCAGCAACUCUUCUCAUGAAUUUAUAUCACUGUAUUAUUCUUCUAUUCCUCCCCUUUUUAACCCAUAUUUUCCAUUUCUUUUCGCCAGCCCUUAACAAAGAAGAAGAAGAGGGAACUAUUUAUAGACGAAAUUAGGGCUGAAAAAUGGGGGAAAUUGGGAUGGAUUCGGAUGCCAUUCGAAAUUCGAAUUUCAAAUUCCUUAAGAGAUAAGGUGUCAGCUGUCCAUUGUACUAAUUCCCAACGGAAUAAUAAUCGCAGCCGUUGAUCUUGAGCGAAGGACGAUCGAUGCAAGGAGAUCGAGACACCUAGCUACUCGAGAACAUUCUUGUACGAAAAUGAUAAGGAGAGAGGAGAGAGCCACGCGGCUGGAUCAACUUGGGUCGCCUGGUACGCUGGACUGGGUUCUGGGUUUCUUCGCGUCGAGGAAGAAGAAAGUGUACAGGGGUCGCAGGUCUGUUUUGAAUUGUUGUACGUAUUGUUAUUGUUGUAUUGAAUUGUUGGGUUAAUUUUGGUGGGCUGCUGAUUGCAAAAAGAAGUGGGUUGGGUUAUUUGUUGAAUUGGAAAUUGAGAAGAUGGGCUGCUGAAAAGGAAUAAGGCCCAAAACUUAGAUGGAUUAAGGAUAAAAUUUAGGGAAAAUUAGCUAUAUAGUCAUAAUUCCUAACAUAUUUAGUCAAGACAACAACACUUUAAAAUAUUUAUUUAAAAUGACAGAAUGUCAAUAUUUUCAAAAAUAAUUUGUAUUCACAUUAUAUUAUUUAUAUUUCCUUUUAUUAAUCAAAAGAGUCCAUAAUUGGAUCAAAUUCUAACCAAUAACAGAUUAAAAACAAAUACAAAACUAUCCAUUAAUAUCUUCCCACAUCUUAGACGUUUCCCACUUUCACGUUUCUCAAUUAAAGUUUUUAUUUUCCCCCAAUUUUCACAUUCUAAGAUUCUCUUUCUUCAACUUUUUUGCUCACAUUGAAACGCAAGGUAUUCAAAGCUCGAUUCUUCAACAAAAUCGGUGGAUUAAUUCAAGGGAUUAAUCGGUUGGUAAACAAAAUCUAGAGAUUAAUUCAAGAAAUUUUGAAUUUGGUAAAGGUAAUAUCGAUUAGUUAUUUAGGUUUCUUUUGAUUUGUUUUCAAUAUCACCGUCUAUGAUUUUAUUUAGAAUUGUACAUAUUACGGAUUUUCAGUUAAUUUUUUUGUUUUUUAUUCAAGUUUGUUUACAUAUUCAUCUAAUAUCUAUAUAUUUCAGAUUUUUAGUCGUUUAAACAAAAAAAAUCAAUUUUUUUCUAAUUUCGUUUUAAUAUUUUAGAAAUUCCUCCAAGAUGUGAUUACUAACAUAUGAAUGGUGGUCAGAAUCUCUUCAUGGUAUUGGCACUAAUGGAUCUGGGAUCAAUUUCAAUGGCCUCAUUAAAGGUGCCACAAGUUUCCCCAAGUUAUUCUUACGGCAAUUGCUUUCAAUAGAACUUUGUGGCAUUGGUUUGAAUCGGCUAUUGCAGUUGAGGCAAAGGCUAUGUACAAUACGAGAUUCAUUCCAAUAUGAAUGCUAAAUUGUAUGUCAAAUUGAUCUGUAGUUCUUGAAGAAUCAUAUUUGUAUUCAUUUAUUUUUUUCACAACGUAAUGUAUUUUUUUCAGAAUUUUUUUUUUUCACAGCGUAAUGUAUUUUUUUCAGAAUUUUAUAUCCUUUCCUAAAUUGUAUUCAUUCCAAUAUGUAUGAUAUGUGUAUUUGUAUUCAUUAUAAUUUUCAUGUUUGGGUUUGUAUAAUGUCAUUUGUAUUUCUUUAUUAGUUUGUAUUCAUUCUAAUAAGUAUGCCAAAUGAAAUACAAAUUAUUAAAAUUUCGUUGACAAACAACUUUGGAAGAAGAAUUCCCAACUCAAACUUCGAUAUAAUCGGUGUUCUCCAAAACUGAAACUUUCUUUUUUUAUUAUGUUUUCAUCAUAAUUGUAUACCAACAACUUUUGCAUUUUAUGUGCUCACUUUACCAUUCAAAUUAAAACUUAAAACUGAUAUUUUACUUUCAUAGUGAAAAUUAAAAAUUGUAUCCGAGUGAUCAAAAAUGUAUUACAUAACUGCCAAAUAUAUUUUUCUUUUAUUUAUUACAAAAAUGUUACUGAUUGUAUCCCAAUAUAAUCUAAUCAUUACAUAUAAAUACAAAUUAAGAAAGGAUACAAACUUAUUUGUAUUCAUUUUGCGUUUGAAAUACAAAAUGAUAUUGAAAUACGUAAUUAUUUUUGGAAUACAAACUGAGCUAAAAAAAAUAGUUACUACAAUUCUAAAGUGAAAUACUAAUAAAAUAACAAAACUGGAUAUUGUAAUAUAAAUACAAUUUUUUUUAAUACAACUUAUUCUAUGUUUUUCGAAAACAAUAUUUUCAGUGAAAUAAUAAUAAUAUAACAAACUGGAAUAUAAAUACAUUUUAGUUUGAAUACAACUUAAUUGUAUCCAGCAAUCACUACUAGUCAACAAAAAUAUGUAUACAACCACUAAUUAGUUGAUGUUUUUUACUCCAUAGUUGUACGCUGUCCAAAAUUGUUAUACUUGUAUCCCUAUAUUACAGAACAUCCGUAAAAAGCUAUAAAUCCCAAUACAUACAAAGAUUUCACUGAUUUAAUCAGGAAAAAAAAACAACAAUUAUACUCGACAUAUGCGAAUAUCUCAUCCAAACAAGAAAAAGAAUCAAAAAAAAAUACUUGAUUGUUUUUCGAUUGUUCACUAGAUGCGACAAAUUUAUAGACCUCAAUUUUGAAAAAAAUUGUUUAAAAAAAUAUGUCGUAUUCAACUUGAAGAAUCUUUGAAAGUUAUAAGAUGAAUGAUUCGGAAGACAAACUAAAUUAUUUAAAAAAAUUAAAAAUUGAUGUUCUUCAGAAGAAAGAAAAAAAAGCCUCGACAGGAAGAAGGAGAUUUAUAAUUUUUUCAAAAGGUAACUGAUUUGUAUUUAAAACCUUUUUACCUUUUUGAAUUUUUCGUUCCAUGAUUUUCUCUUUUCUGUUAUUAAUUUUUGUAUUCUUUCAAAUUAAUAAAAAUAAAUACAUAACUAAUCCAUUAACAAACUAAAAUAAUGACAUUUUUUAAAUAAAUAAUGAAAUUGUUGCUAAGGAGUCCCACUAAAAGAUAAAAUAUUGUUGUUUUGAAAAUUUUCCCUAAAAUUUAAUUUAUUAGAAUUUGAAUUUAAGCUUUAACCAUAUGAAUUUAAAUUAUAGCCAAUUAGAGAUUUAAAAGGUAGUCAAACUUAGUUAAUUAGGAUAAAUUCAACUAAUAAUUAAAUAAGAUGAAUUAAUAUAAUUAAUUUACGAGCUUCUUAAUCUUUAACGAAAUAAAAAUAAUUAACUUACUUAUGAAAUAAUUAAUUCGAAUAUAUAAACUAAUAUCAAAUGAGCUAAUUAACAAAGCACUUAAAAAGUAAACUCUUUUUUAAAUGAUUUUCUUUUUAAUGUUCGUAAAAUGUAAUAAUCAUAUACAAAACUUUAUAAAAAUAUAUAUAUUGUUUUAAAAUUAUAAAAAUGACUAAGAUUGCUUCAAAACUAAAAAUAAAUAUUAUUUCUUUUUUUUGAAUUUUUGUAAAACUAAUUAUUCCAAGUCAUUGAAAAUUAAGAAGCUUGAAAGCUAAUUCUUAUCGGGGAGGGUCAAAAUUGGGUGUCAACAUUUGUGUAGACUUCAAGAUAGAAGGUAUAGUAAUAGUUACUAGUUAAGACGAGUUAAGAGUAUACUUUAAUCUGAAGGGAGUUUAUGUCAAGGUUAUUGUGUUAGUGAAGGCCAAGUAUAUGUGUGGAAUAAAAGAGUAGAAUAUUCAUGAGGUGAUAGGUCUAAGCUAGGCUUAUGAUUUUAGGGAGAGUCAUGAUGUUCAGAGGGAUAUAGAACUAAUUUGGCAAUGAUGUAUAGUGAAUGGGUAAAUAUUAGUUAAGUUGUGAAAGGAAGUGUAACAGUAAAAUUGUAAGUAUGUAGAAUUCAGAGAUAAAGAUUGACGACUUGUCAUGAGAUCUUAGUGGGCGAGUGUUUCUUAAAUUUUUCUAUUAGUCAUAAGUUAUUAUAAUAUGUGAGAAAUUAUAUUUAUAUAUGUGUUUAGUACUAGACAUUAAGCUUGAAGUUGAGAUGAGUUUCAUGAUAAAAAGGAUGGCAACAUGAUGGUGAUGAUGUUAGUUUUAAGAUCUAAUCUAGUAGCUAGUUUGACAUGGAGUUGGAGAGGAAUUAAGGUGUUAGUUGUGAUGCAUGUGUUGUUCAAGUGUGAUGUUAUUACCCUUAGAUGAUAUAAAUGAAGUAUGACUAAGUCAUUAGAUUAGCAAGAGCAUUAAGAGGUGUACCCGAGAUCGUAUGUAGCCAGACGAGAUCCCAAUUAAGGUUAUGAUUUUUCAUGCGUGCCUAGAGAGUAUAUUUGAGCUGUCAACAUGGAAUAGGCUAAUGCAAGAAUUAUAUUUCCUUAGGAGUUAGAUGAAGUGACCUUAUGAACCAAUGAGAAGAGGUUAAGAGAAGUAUCUUAGAAAGAGGUCUUAGAAGGAAUCUAUGGUACCUGCAUAUGGAGAGUUCAGCAGCCAUGAGAUAAGCCUUUCCCAAGUAUUAUAGUAAAGAAAAUGUAGAACAGUUUGGAGAUGAUGAAAUAGAUCCAUAACUUUAAAGUGUCAGCUCCACAUCUAAUGGGGAGAUGAUAAGAUGAUAAACCAAGUCAAGUGUUGAGAAUCAGAUAGUAAUGUGUUUAAGAAGAGUUAAAGUGGUAUAUCAAUCCAUUCAUCCUCUAGCGUAUUCCUCAAAGUUCAGUCAUUGCAACAUCUUGUUGAUGUUUCUAAUACCAUAAUUGUGUCUAUUACCUAUGCUUAUACACUUAAGAGAGAUUCACAUCUAUGCUCAGUUUCGAGAAUGAGGGGCAAAGACUUUAGACCAUUGAUCUCAAUCUUACUCCAUAAAGUUAUGGAUAUCAGCCUCAUGAUAUGAACCUAUUCAUAUAAGCACUCAUGUCUCAUAGUAUGUCCAGUCUCACAAAUUCAUUAUUUGAUCUUAAUGUCUAGCAAAAUAAUGUUAUUUCAUGCAUAUUUUUAUAUCAAAACUCUCAAAUGAAUCGUGCUUAGUUUUGAGAGUGGUGUUGUUGAUAGCAACUAUGUGAUGAUAGAGAAGAGGAUAUUAUUGUGAUAGUGAUGGUGUGUUUAUUUCAUUUAAGAUUAUAAAUGUGGAGGAAAACAGAGAUAAAGUUUGAGGAUAAGUAAUAAGUCAGUUUCCUGGUAGUAAUGCAUGAAAUUUUUGUUGGUAGAAGUGACGAGAGAAUGAGGAAUUCUUAAGGACGUCUUAAUAGGAGUCCAUGGAGUGGCUAUAGUACUAGGCUUGAAUGUGGUGUUAGUAUCAUGUGGAUGAAUGCAUGAUGGAUUAGGUGGUUCUUGAUUAAGACAACAAGUUGGUUGAAUGUGGUGGUAAGGAGUAAUAUUCUUGAGAUGAGAUUUCCUAUAGAGGCAUAGAACCUGCAUCUUAUGAUUUAGAUUAGAAUAAUCACCUUAUGUUAAGUACUUUGUGAUUUCAAGUUAGGCUUAGAUAUAGUAAGAGCAUACGAUUAGACUCAGACCUUGGUAAGAGUAGUCAUAUAUACCCUUACGGGAGCUAUGAGUGGCAGCCAAUGAGGUGUGCUAAUAAGGAAAUAGAGCAUAGUUGAGAAGUGUUUCACAUCUUCAAAGCUAUCAGUCACAUCACUCAAGACAUAAUAUUUCUAGUCUUACUUCGUGCCCAUAUAUCCUUGCCUUAUGUCAAAUAACUUCAGAUAGAGCGUGACUAUGUUAAAGCUAUCAGUCAUAUCACUCAAGGCAUAAUAUUUCUAGUCUUACUUCGUGCCCAUAUAUCCUUGCCUUAUGUCAAAUAGCUUCAGAUAGAGCGUGACUGUGUUCAAACUCAUAUCGUUCUUGACUUAUGUGCUAUAGACAGUUCCAAGCUCAUUAAAUAACUUAGUUCCGUCUAUGUUAAUAGGCAAGUUCAAAAGUAAAAAAGAUAGUAAGAGUAACUCCUUUCCUUGCCAUUCUUAGUCUAGCCAUCAUUCGAGAACGAAUGUUCCCAAGGAGGAGAUAUUGUAACGCCUCAGAUUUCGAAAAAGCUAAAGAGAAGUUCGUAUGAGUCACCAUCAGUUUCUAGUUUUGGGUCAAAUUAAAUCGACCAUAUAUUUUAGCACAUAAAUAAAUAGGUGUCCCAUGAGAUAUCAAAUUGAAGGUCUUUGAGUCAUCUUUUCAAUGCCACCAAGUUUGCUAAAUUUCAAGCUUGGAGUAAAAAGUUGUGCCCAUGUGAGUGAAGCCUCUCUAUUUAAGGCAUUUCAUCCAUUUUAGAAAAGGGUAUUUUGGUCUUUUUCUUUUCCCAUUAGGCUUAGCACGUUUUUCCUCACCCAAUUAAGGGUCUAAUCAGAUGCUAAAUCAUUCCUUUUCGUUCCUAAAUACUUAGAAAAAUAAGAGAAGAGUUGAAGAGGAUAAAGAGCUAGGUUUUGAGCGUUCGUCAAGAUCCCGUCGAUUUUCAGCAAGAAUAUUGUUCUUUCUAGGUAUGUAAGGCUUCCCACAGUGAUGGACUUGUUUGUCCUCACGUCAUAUAUCUAAUUUAUCCGCAAAAUCAUUGUAUCUAAAGGAUAAUUGCAUAGUUCUUGAUUUCGGUUCAAUUCUUUAACAAUGGAGAUUGUGAAUCCUUUUGUGUUGUGAAUCUUUGGUAAGAGUCAUGCUUCGAGGAGGUUUGUAUGAGAAAUUCUAUGAAUUUGUGUUGGGUUGGAGAAUCAAGAAGUGUUUAGGAGUAAUUGUUCGAUUCUAAACUAGUUAUGACCCUAAAUUGAGAAGAAAAAUUCAUUGGGUUUCUGUUUAAGGGCCUGGGGUGGCGCGCCACCUAUAGCGCCAGAACUUUUGCUCUGUAGUUUGGGGCAUGGCGCCCCACGCCAGCCAGUGCGCCAGGUUCUUUUUCUUUCUGUGCUUCUUUCUGAAUAUGUUCUUUUGAAUCGUGACUAUGUUCUCCUCUUUGUAUUAGAUCCUAAAGGCUCCAUUAAUCCUUGAGAGAUCCUACAUGUCCUAAUCUCAUGUAUUUAUUUACAUUCCAGACUAAAGUGAGUUUAAGAGAAAAAAUCAAGAGCUUUCAUUGAGUUGAUUCGUUCAUGUCUAUAUUUCAGCAUGAACCCUAUCAUUUGAGUAUUCAUUGAGUUGUUGUUGAGAAUAUUUUAAUCGAACAAUUAUCUUAAAUUGAUUUUCUGAGAAAGUAAAGAGGAGUUUUGAGGAAAGUUUAAGAGACGAUUUGAGCAAGGGUCAAGGGAACUUUAAUGGUCCUGAAUGUAUCAUAUACAUUUUAAAUGCAUAUUUUGAAAAGAAUCUUUUUAAAGAUUGAAUCAAAUGGUUUCAUAUGUACUUUUUGACAAUUGAGAAAUAUAAAGAGUGUGAUUAAUGUUUCUAAAAAGUAAUAGUCCCUUUCUUUGUAAAGGGUAAUUGAGCAAAGUGAAAAGUAAAGUAAAGUAAUAGUCUCUUACUUGGUAAAUGGUGAAUUGAGCAUAAUUGAUAUUGAUUAUUUUUUGGAGUAGUAUCGAGCAUCGAAUUGGGUUAAAGUCUUUUAUUGCUAGAAAGUCCCAUAAAACUAUGUAACCAGCGUAGGAUAGUAUAUCAUUGAUUCUUCAUGUGACUCUUCACUGCCUCCGAGAAGGCCUAUUAGAUGGAUCCAUAGUUACAAUAUCAUCAUGUGCCCCAGCAAAGUAUUGGAUGGCCCUUGCAACGUGGGUGAAACGUUGUAUCAUUGCUAGGCUCAUAGUGAUGGUUGUCGGUUAGAGAAACUCCCCACAAAGUAAAGUAUAUUAUUUUCAUAUUUCUUUUUAUUGCAUGUCUUAUUGUAAAACUUAAAUGGUUUUUCACUUCAUGUUCAUGUAUUGAUUCAGUGAGUUGCGUUCAAUCAUUUAGUUCAAUUAUUUAUUUAUUCAACCAUAUUAUAUACUCAUACAUUCAAUGUAUUGACGCCAUUCGACCUACAUUUUUUAAUGAUGCAGAUGUAGGUUCUUUAGAUCCUCAACAAGAGUCCUUUGAGAUCACUUUGUCUGCUUGCCAACUUUUGAGUAAGACCUCCUUGGUUUCAGAGGACUCUACUUUUAUGAGUUGUUAGUAAUAGUAACAUUUUGAGUAGUCGUGGGUGUUGUCUUGACACUCAUCUAUAUGCAGUAGAGGCUUCAUAGAUAGACAAUUUUGGAGAGACUUUCAAUUUCAUAUGUUUUAUUUAAAGCUUAUGUUUCAUACUCAGUAUAUUCAAUAAAGUUUUGAGAUGCAAUAAACUAUUUUUAAACGUUUCUUUCAAUUUGAUGCUUAUGUAUGCUCAAGUUAGUCUUCCGCUUGUAGUUAGCCAGGAUGAGGGUUUGCUUGGGGACCAACAAUGGUUCUCGAGUGCUGGCCACAUCCAGGGUGUAGGUUCGGGUCAUGACAGGUCACUCUUGAUAGCCGGGUUGGGAGUGGACUGGCUGGCUAGGCGGAUUAGAUUGAUUUUCACCCUUGCUAGCAGGGCUAGGAGUUGACUCGAUUACUAGAUAUUGUGGUUACUUGGGGUGGGAGCCCAACUUUAUCUUCGUGGUACUCUUGUUUCAGUAGACCUAGCUAUUAUGUGUACUUGUCGAGCUUAUGGAGGUCCAUUCGGGUUUAUUUAAACGUGCGCACGAAUGUACCUUCUUGGUUUAUGGGGUCCAUUUAGGUUUAAUUUAGUUGUACUUAGAUUUACUUUUGGUAUGCUCGUUUGCUUUCUUUCAUAUCUGAUUUGUCCUUUGUUUGUGUCUAGAUUAUACCUUUCUUACUGUCUUUAUUUUUCUUGCCCAGUCGACCUAUGAUGUCUACUGAGUAUCGUUGUUUUGGUACUCAUGCUACACUCUGCAUCGGUUUAGUGAUGCAUGUCCUAGUACCAACUACCGAAAAUGACUAUUUUUUCCAUCUUCAACAACUUUUGAGAUCGGAGACGUGGGUGAGCACUUGGCGUCCUGGAUCAGCCUAUCUCCUUCUGUAUAUAGGUUUAGCUAGUCUUUUGCCUUUGAGAUGGCUUUAUUCUUGUGGUCCACUUUUUGGGACUUGUACUUUCAUUUUAGACAGCUCUGUACUUGUGACUUUUAUGUUCUAAGAGGGAUUCUCUUGUAUAUAGAUUUUUGCUUGCUUCCGCUUCUGUCUUGUCUUAUUUCAUUGUUUAGUUCUACCCUUACACUCAUUACUUGUCGUUUCGAGAACGAGUUGGCUUACCUACUGUGGGUUAUUGUAGGUAUCAUCAUGACUCAAGGGAUCGGGUCAUUACAAAAAUCAAAUGGCUGAAGCAUCUUCCACAAAGGAAUUAGCUUCAACUGAUUUAAAUGCUUGCAAGGUUAUGGAAAAUGCGACAUAUGCAGUUCAUAAUAGUUCUAUUAAUUUGAUCGAUGAGUCGAUUGUCGAAUUGGGGCAACAACUAUCUCAAAACAGAGGUGUUACUAGUGAGAAAUCCAAUUUAGCUACUGUUGUAGCGUUAAAACCAGUGGCUGGUAAAUUGCCAAAGGUGAAAGAGACAUCAAUAGUUGAUUCGGGGCAGAAACUAAUUGCUACAGGUGAUGGUGAAGCUACUGAAAAUUUUGGGUUGUAUAAGGCCAAUUUUUUUAGACGGGUCAAUGAUGAACAUGGGUGGCUAACAACUGAUAAAUAUACUGAUUUGCAAGCUGAAGAGCGCAGCCAUGAAGAAGAUAAUGAAGCUGAAAAUUAGAUUUUGGUUGUACAUAAAAAUUCAGCUGGUAGUCAUAUACAUUCCCCGACUAGUCGAAGUAUGUUAUGAACCAAGUCCAGCCCAAUGUAGAUACUAAUGUCAUACAAGUUGUUAUUGGGCUGACAAGAGCUAUUGGGCCGAGAACGGGGAAUAGGGUCAAGUUAAUUUGGGAUCCGGGUUGAGUAGUGGGCAUGAAACGGUUCCAUAAAAAAGGGUAGUGAUAUGUGAGUUAGGGAUUAUGCAAAUUGUGGAGAAAAAUGUCUAGUCCUCUCAUCCCCUUUCUUUGAGUCUUUGCUUCUCAUCCCUUUCCUUCUACUGGUGUUCUUUAAUUUCCAUCUAGUUCUUAAAUUCCUUUGUAAUUCCAAUUACGAGUUAGUGAAAUAGAUUUGUCGGGUUGUUUGAAUUUGAUUGUGUUGGCCUUGUUAUUGGGUUUGCUACAUUGGUGCUUUCAUUGAUUUGUCUACCAUGGUGGACACUUCGCUCACCUCCCUUAAUGCAUCUAUUUGUGCAUUCCGCCAACAAUUUGAUUUCCUGCAGUCAUCCCAUUCAAUUCCUCGUCGUAUACCGGAUUCAGUUUUCCUUCCACGAUUUAGUGGUGAUAAUCCGGCAGUCUGGGUUCUUCAGGCAGAGAAGUAUUUCGCAUUCCACAAUAUUUUAUCAGAGCAUAAACUGUCAUUGGCUUCAUUUUAUUUUGAUGGUGAUGCUUUAGAAUGGUAUCGAUGGUUAUUUCGCAACAAACAACUCGCUGGUUGGGAUCAUUUUGUGGACAAAGUGUUGAUUCGUUUUCGCUCCCGUACUAGAGACACCUAUAGCAAGUUUGUAUCCAUUCCCAAGCAAUAUGAGGCAGCGGAGAAUUAUAUAACUAACUCAUACUCGCCUCAAUACUUGAAUGAACGCUCAGAUCGCAACAAACCAAGCCUAGUACACACAUUGUUCAAGGAGAUGUCGGAUGGGGAAACUAACUGCUUUAGAGAUGAAACUAUGGUGUUACCAAAGACCCAGAUGUCAUCUUUCUGAACAGGACAACAUCUCGGUUUCACUAGAAAUUUCGUAUGAUCUCCUUGCUGAAAACUCUGAGGUAGACCACAUGUUCGAUAAAAUGCCCGAGAAGUGUAAUGAAGUGGAUUCCUUGGACAAUACCUCUGUUGGAAGUAAUAUUGAUACUUUUGAUUAUAUGGACAGUAGACCGAUUUCUUCAAUACCUAGUCUGUAUGAUCAAAUGGUGUCGAAUCCAAAUUUAUCUAAUAACCCUACUAAAGAUGAAGCACUUGGAUUUCCAAACAAACCCCUCUCCGAACUGUCUCAGUAUGAUAAUGACCAAUCAAGUCGAGAAGGAGGACAGAAUGUUCGUCCAAUAUCCUAUGAAACACCUCCACCACAAGAGUACCCCACUAAUCUGUUCUUGUCUGCUUUCAGUGCGCACACUGAUCAUUCCAUGAACACUUUUUUCAUGCGUGAAGUUGUUGAUAAUGCUAAGCUCGUGGAAGCAAUCACCGCUGCAAAGUAUAGAAAUGUGGUAGUUGUUGGGGAAGAGUACAACAAUUGUGAGCUUCUUGAUGACUUGGGACUGUUUGCAAUGGACGAGGAAACUAUCAAAUAUUUCAACAUGAGUACAGCAAGGGUGUUCGACAACAAUCUUUGGUCGUCGUGUGUCAUUGGUUGUGGCCACAAGGUCGCAAGAUCGUUAAUUGGAGAUCCAAAUUUUAGUUGGACUGUUAUUUUUAAGGAAUUUGUAUUGAAGGACGUAGAUGAAACAGAAGAUAACACAUCUCCUUUCUUCACUAAUAUCUAUUUGCUUGCAGAUGAUAUUCCCACAUCUGGUUCUACCAUUGGCUGGAAUGCUAGACUGGCACGGUUGACGGUUGGAAUGGUUGUUCAUUCAGCACACAGACACAAACCGCAGGAUAGCAAGCUAGUGCACAAUGGGAAUAACUCUGAAAUGUUGGAGUUAAUGAUAGAUUCUGAGUCCGAGCACAAUCACACCCAUAAAAACUUUUAUAUUCUUAAUUAUACCCUUGCUCCGAAUGCUUCAAGCAACAAUUUACGUUUACUUGAUGUACAUACAUGCCCGGUGCUAGUGCUCAUCAACUCUAAAUGUGGAGGUCAACUUGGAGGAGAACUUCUUCGUACAUUUCGUCAUCUUCUUAACAAAUAUAAAGUUUUUGAUUUGGGAGACGAAGCUCCUGAUAGUGUUUUACGUAGACUGUAUUUGACUAUAGAAAGGCUCAAGGGUAAUGGUGAUCGAUUUUCCGCCGAAAUUGACGAGAGAAUGAGAAUUAUUGUUGCAGUUGGAGAUGGCACAGCUGGUUGGCUUCUCGGAGUUGUAUGUGAUCUCACACUAUCUCAGCAGCCUCCAAUUGCAACAGUACCUUUGGAAACUGGAAAAGAGAUCUUGUUUCUAGAAAAUUGGUUUCCGAUAACUGAUGCGGUGGGAAUACAUCUUAAUUUCAAUCUUGAUAGUGGAAUAUGUUGCAGAGACAUCUACCACUUUAGAUGUGUUAUGAUUCUGGUUAAAGUUGGACAAGUUAUUACAGAGGAAAUAGGAGUAAUGCCAAUUUCCUUACUACUCUUGGAAGACAGCAUAGAGUUGCACUUUGCAUCAGAUCAUUUUCUUUGGUUUUUAUUGCUGGAUGGAAAAGUUUUGUCCAACUUCACACUUGAGACAUUGCAGCAAGUGGAAGUUGCUACUCUUCAGAUAAUUGAGAAAGUUGUGGAUAGAUUUCAUGACUUGAACCUUGAGGACAAGGUUCUUAAUUGGGAUGGGUGAAUUGUUAUGAACCGAGUCCAGCCCAAUGUAGAUACUAAUGUCAUACAAGUUGUUAUUGGGCUGACGAGCUAUUGGGCCGAGAACGAGGAAUAGGGUCAAGUUAAUUUGGGAUCUGGGUUGAGUAGUGGGCAUGAAACGGUUCCAUCAAAAAGGGUAGUGAUAUGUGAGUUAGGGAUUAUGCAAAUUGUGGAGAAAAAUGUCUAGUCCUCUCAUCCCCUUUCUUUGAGUCUUUGCUUCUCAUCCCUUUCCUUCUACUGGUGUUCUUUAAUUUCCAUCUAGUUCUUAAAUUCCUUUGUAAUUCCAAUUACGAGUUAGUGAAAUAGAUUUGUCGGGUUGUUUGAAUUUGAUUGUGUUGGCCUUGUUAUUGGGUUUGCUACAAAGUAAUUCUCAAAGACGUGAUAAGGGUGAUAUUGGAAACUUUCAGUUGAGUGUCGGUCCUAAUUUAAAUUUACCAACUCAGAAUGCUUUUGAACCAUUGUUGGUAACUGGUAAAAAGCAACUGGACCAAUGUAAGGACAUGAUUAUUAAUAUUGCAGCCCAUAGUAAUCAAAUACUACAAAUUGAGCAGUCACAUGGUGAGGUUUCGUCCAAGUCCAAGACAUGAGCAGAACCUGAAGAUGAAAAAUAUCAAAAUGAUGGUAGCGAAAGAGAAAGCUUACAGGAGAUUAGCGCACCAACUUCAGACAAUAAUCUCAACCAUAAUGCACCUCUUUUUGUGCCUUAGAGUAGUGAAAAAAUUACAACUCUGAUGGACACUACAAUUGGUAGCAAUCAACACCAUAAAGGGUAUAGGGUUUAGGGUUUAACAACUUUAACUCUCCAAAAGUCUAAAACUUCCAAAAAUCACAAUUUUACAAUCAAAUUUCGAAACCAACUUUGUAAACUGGUCAAACAAGACUCGGGGCAGCUAUCGGGAGGAGUAAAAUGGUAAUUUUUCGAAAAUUUCCAAAAAUGACCUUCAGGGUCAUUACAAACCCCCCAUCACCAUGGGUGGUGAAAGUCUGUCAUGCAUGUUGCCAGGUCAGGUUGGAUAUUCAUAAGACACACUCAUGUCAAUAAAAGGUGUAUAUGUGGUCACUAGAAUAGUUAAUAUGUCUAUAUGACAAUUCAUCUGCAAUUUUCUUUUUUGGGGGGCAUCUAUGGCCUAUGGAUUAGCAAAUGGAAAAUGUGAUUAUAUUUCAAAAUGAUAUUUAAAAAUGGCAAAGUUAUCUUGCCAUUCAUCUGCAAUUUGUUCUUUUGCGAAUCUCUUUCUCAGGCAGAGGAAACAUGUGCCCUACAAAGGCAGUGUCACCGGUUCUGUUCUCAAAAUACCAUCUUCUUCUUCUCAGUUUGCACUACCAACAAGACAGUAGACUGUAAGAUUGAAAAAAUAUUUGUGUAUUCAUAGUCCAAAACUUUUGUCAUUUACUUUUGACAUUUUCCCUAUAAUUUAUGGGACUAACUCUAGUACCUUGCUCAACAGUUAACUCUAAAUGUUUUGACAACUCUCUAAGAAACUGAACUCCCUUCUUGUUACAAACCUCACCACGAAUACACCUUUAACACAGCUAGAGAUUAUUACAAUUUAAUAAUAAUUAUAUUACAGACUCAAUAACAACAAUCCUAAACACUAGUUUUAGGCCUAGCUUGUUUCUUUAAUCUACUCCUUGUCAUAUAUUGCCUUUGAGAAAGCUUCAGCUAUUGAGUGCAAUAGUUGCCUCUCUCUUUUUACCUUGUAUAGAUAUAAGUCUUGACUAUGACCUUUUUUUUAUCAUAGACAACAAUAAGAGAACCAAGUUUCCAAAAAAUAGUCUUGGCUAUUGUCGUUUACCGAUUCCCCCCAUUCCCAAGAUCCACACAAUCCGAACAUCAUCAAUUUCAAUCUGUAGUAGGGAUUCUGCUUUCUCUAACUGAGUAGCUAUUCCCACAACUUUGUGCAAAUAAGAUAGUGAAGUCAUGCAUUUGGACAAAAUUGUAUCAAAAAUACGCUCAAUACAGUCUGAUUCAAUCCUACAAAAAAAUUCUAAUAUAUACAAUUUAAAAAGUCAAGAAUAGACGAGAGGGAGUUGCUCGGAUGGUAAGCACCCCUCACUUCCAACCUGAAGGUUACGAGUUCGAGUCACCAAGGGAGCAAAGGGGUGGGAGCUCCUAGGGAGGGUUAAAAAAAAAGUCAAGAAUGAAAACUAAGAAGUAGUAUUUCACAUUGUAGAAUCCACAAUUAUGAUUAAAAGGACUAUGCACAUAAAUCAGACUAUUUUCAGAAAAUUAAGUUAUUUAAGAUUCUGUUUGACUCAUUUUUGAGGUAGAGAAUCUUUGUUUGAUAAAGUAAUAUAUAAUAAUGUGUAGAUUGUCUUAAAAAUUAUUCCUUUCGUCUAACUCACAAUACAUAUCCUUUCUGAUUUGUGGCAGCAGUUAGGGAAGUCCUCCAUACUUGCACCUUCUGCGUGCAUCCUAUCAGGCCAUCACCACAAUUUUUUUGGCAAAUGCUUCUGCAAAGCUCCCCUUUGGUUUCGAACAUCUGUUGCAUCAACAUCAUAGAAGACUGGUAAGACUAUUUGUCCAUUUUCGUCCUUUUGGCAUUCCAUGUGUUCACUAGUUCAUACAAGCACCACUUCAAUGUGGCAUAAUUCUUUGAGAAAAUGACAAGGGCAACUUGAGAGUCUCAAUAGCUUUCAAGAGUUCUUCUGGGAUCAAAUCAUCAUGCUCUAGCCUUUUAUAAUCUCUAAAGGUGAUUAUUCCCCUCCUUGUAAAAAGUUCAUACAAGUAGCCCGUAAUUGUUGUAUGAGUAUCUUCAUCUCUAAAACUUAAGAAGAGAUUGUACUUUCAUCGAGGACAGUAUUGUGAAAAUUUUGUUUGAACUGUAUUAGAAGAUCCACAAACAAAUAUGUGCUACAAACAGACGAAGCUGGAGAGAAAAAGUACCCACUAAUUUCUUUAUCAUCGACAACACGUUGAUAAACAAGCAAUCAAAAACAGUGCUAACCAUAUAUGAGAAGAGCUUAAGUAAUUAAAAUUAUUAAAACAGAGAUCAAUUAAUGCAGCUGAAGAGACUAACCACUCUCCCAAGAAUAUAAGAAUGUUUCGUAGAAGAGGAGCAAUUCGCGUCAAGCUCAGGAUCAUCUUUAUACAACAAACGUAAUCCAUACUUGUUCAUUUCUCCAGAGAAACAUAAUGUAAUAAGCCCAUAGUCAUUUGGUGUUUUCCCAUUUGCCUUACAUGUAUCCCAUAAGCCAGCAAAAGGUACCAAGAAAAAAUAAAUUUUAGAAUUCCAAUCUGAAUGGUUGGAUAAGGCAAGCUUCCGGGUGAUACCCGAGGUCCCAUCAUCACAUAAGGAAAUCAACUGAGCUGUCAUGUCAAUUAAUUCACCACUGUAACAUACAGCAAAUCCCAAGAAGUUAUCACGAACGUACCAGUUUUCAGGCAAAUUGACUGAUACGCUUUUAUCAAAUCCUCGAUGGUGGAACCAACUAGGGAUAUUCUCCUCCCAACUAAUGAACGCUCUUAAUGACAAGGAAUCUGAAGCAGAGAUGUCAUGCUGCUGCAAUGAUGAGAUAUUCUGAAACAACGAAUUACAGAUUGAAUCAUUGCUCCAAUAUGCAUCUAUUUUAUCUAACUGCUCCGGAAAUUCUGGCAACUGAGUAAGCCUCUUGCAAUAUGAUAAGUACAAGGCUUCAAGAGCACCAAGUUGGGCUAUGCUUCGAGGCAAAUGCUCAAAAUUGUUUUUACUGAGAUCCAACUUUUUCAAAGACGAUAAGCAUCCAAUGUCUUCUGGAAGUCCUCCAUCUAUUAAAUUGCAUGAACUGAGAUUCAGAAUUUCCAAUGAGCGUAACCCUUCAUUCACCUGAGGGAACACAAAGUACACUCCAUCUUCUAAACAUUGUCCUGCAAAAUUCAAGAAUUUAAGUUUGUUCAAGCGGACGAUGGAAGAUGGAGGUUUUGAAAUUCUAGUGCAGCUCGCAUCAAGAUUCACCAAGUUCUCUAAAUCACCUAUCUCUUCUGGCAAGCUUUCAAGUUUUAAGCACCAUGACACAUCUAGCUUCACCAAACCUUUCAACAUGCCAAUGCUGCUCGGAAGAGCUAUAAGUUUUUUCAUGCCCGCCAAAUCUAGCUCCGUAAAAGGAGCUUCAAGGUUUUUCAUGCCUAGCAAAUGUUUCUUGGUAAUAUGAGUUAGAUACUGAAUAGAUGAGGGCAGUUCCCUUAUACCAGUGCCUUCUACCUUAAUCUCUAACUCCAACUUCAUUCUCCCAAAGAAAUUUGGAAAUUUAUCUAAUUUUAAGCAGCCCUCUAGAUCCAGAUGUUCAAGAGACUCCACAUUAACACAUGGAAACCUCUCAAGGCUUUUACAACGAUACAAACUUAACUUAUUGAGUUUUUUGCAAUUUCCCAGUGAAGGAUGCACCUUUUUAAGACUCCUACAUCUCUUCAGAUUCAAACACUCCAAAUUUGGCAUCCCCGUGAAAUUUGGUGUUUGCAUCAGCCUAUCAGAGAAGCUGAGAUCUAGCCAUCGUAGACACGGCAAAAGCUCCUAUCAGAACAUAGAAAGAAAUUGUUUAAUUUUCAUUUAUAUAAAUGUUCAGAAACUAAAUAAAGGUGUUUAUGAAACUAAUAUCUUAAUUUCAUUUAAUCACAAACAUUAUAAUUCAAGGACAAACCAAAUAGAAAGUAUCUCAAAUAAAGCGGUACCUUUCUUUUUGUCCAUAAAUCAUGCAACAAACUCCACCCGAGAUAGAGAUGAACAAGCCUUUGGGGUUUAAAAUUGUCUGGCAAUGACACCCAAGGAUAUUGCUCCCAGUAAACCCAUUGCAAGUUGUUGGACAGAAACUCAAUGGAGCCGUUGAGAAUGUAUUUCGAAUCAAUGGAAGAAUGGGGCGAAGAGAAACGGUUUAGCCUACCAUCAGCUAUGCAUAAUAUCCUAAGCCUUUUCAUAUUUUUCAUCGCCUCUUUAUUAAAGCAUAUUUGUUCAAAGCAAGUAAACCAAAUUGCUUCUAUUGUCAUGGUUCCCUAGUAAAAAGAUCAUAAAUUAACAAAUCAUAACUUCAAAUGUUGUGUACAAUAAACUUACCGAUAUCACUAUUUGCAUAAGGCUAUAUAUAAGGCGAUAAACACAUGAUAGUUCAGAUAAGAAUCUCACAAAAGUGCCGCACUUCAAGUUAUCUUGUAAAAUGAAAAAGUACUAAUAACUGUCAUCUUGUAAAAUGACAAUAUCAUACAAAUUUCAAGUUAAUUCAAUGAUUUGAAAGCUUGAUAAGCAUACUAAAUGGCUACUAGACUAAAUAAUGGCUUAAUAACAUAAGACAAAUUUAUUUCAAUAUAUGAAAACUGGAAAUUGAAUAAUGUUGCGCUGUUUAACCUACUUACUGUCUUGUUGGCCAUAACUUCUUUGAAAUCUUCAGUGUGCCAUAUUCUGCUAGGUUCUCCCGAUUUUUUUUGCAUUUUCACCACGUAUUUACCCAUCUCUUGUAUUAAGUCAUGCAUUUCAAUAGUAUUAUUUAUAGAGAUGAACACAAGAGAUUUGUCCAUUAAGAUACGCAAUCCGAUAUUUGCUCCAGAAUAACAGCUCUCAAGAAUUUGCAUGGUAUAAUCUUUAUCUUUCCCUCGAAAGAAGCAUGAUAUAUCCAGAAAUAUAUCUUGUUGUAUGAUAUUCAAUCUAUCAUAGCUAAUUCUAAGCUUUUCAACAAUUUCUGAAUUACAGUUAUUUUUCAUUUCCUCGAUAGCACUUCUCCACUCGGUUAUGUCCCUCUUAUGUAAUAAAGAACCCCACACUUUCAAGGCUAAAGGAAGGCCUCUAGCAUGAUGUACAACCUCCAUUGAGAGCUUCUCAAAACAUUUGUUUGGAACUUCUUCUUUGAUGAAAGCAUAUUGAUUGAACAAUUUAAUAGCUUGAUGGUCCGCUAGUGUAGUCAUUUCAUAUACUACAUCAUUCGUCUCAAUCAAAUGCUUAUCUCUAGUUGUUACAAUAAUUCUACUCCCAUCACCAUACCAAUCAAGAUUUCCUACUAGGUAAUCCAAAUGGUCUCUGUGAUCUAUGUCAUCAAGCACAACUAAAACCUUCUUAAAACGAAGUCUACGAGCUAUCAUGUGCUUUCCGUCCUCCUUAUUAUUCACAUAAUUAUCUUUUUUCCUUAAUAGUUCUGAGAGAAGGAUAUUUUGCAAAGAAUGCAUUCCACAUUUGUUUUCUUUAAUAUCCGCAAUGAAACUAGCAUCUGCAAAUUGACACGAGAGUGUGUCAAAAAUUGCCCUUGCUACUGUCGUUUUACCAAUUCCCCCCAUGCCCCAGAUCCCCACAAUUCGAACAUCAUUGAUUCCAAGCUUUAGUUGGCAUUUUACUUCCUCUAAGUGAGUAUCUAUUCCCACAAUAUUUUGCAAAUAAGCUACUGAAGUCUUGCAUAAUUUGGACGAAAUUUGGUUAACAAUUUGUUGAAUGUUCUCUGAUUCAACCCUACAUAAAUAAGAACAUUAAUUGUGGAUAAGCAUAAUAAAGUAAUGUAUUAUAAGUAUUUCAUACUAUUAGUGCUGAGAAAUACUUUUCAUGUGGGGGAGCUGGUUUAAUAAAUAAGCACCAUUCAGAUGUUUGAGUUGAAGUGCUAAAAUUGAAAAUAAAGUGAUUAUAUAUUAAAUUUUAAAAAAAAGUGUCUAUAAACAUUUUUUUCAUAAAAAAAUAAAGGACUUAAAUAAGCAUUUCUAACGUCUAAACUACACUUUUUUUUUAACUCACCCUUGGCGGAUGUCAUAUCCUUCUAGAUCUGCGGCAGCAGUUAAGGCAAUCCUCCAACUUUGCACCUUCUCCAUUCCCUCGACAUCAUCCUUAUACUUCGAUUCAUGUUUGGCAAAUGCUUUUGCAAAGCUCUCUCUUUGGUGACGAACAUGUGCUGGAUCCACAUUAUAGAAUAUCGGUAUGACUAUUUGUCUAUUUUCUUCCUUCUUGCAUUCCAUAAUUUUCACUAGUUCAUUCAAGCACCACCUCGAUGUAGCAUAAUUCUCUGAAAAAACUACAAGGGCAACUUGAGACUCUUCGAUAGCUUUCAAGAGUUCUUCUGUAAUCGAAUCACCAUGCUCUAGCCUUUUAUCAUCUUGAAAGGUGAAUAUUCCCCUGUUUUUCAAACC